CCUCAUUUGAUAGAAGUGGAUUUGAGAGGUUUGGGGUGGUGGGGAUUUGAGGGGAUUUGGUGAAUCCCCUCCUUCCACCCAAUCCUCUCAAAUCCCCCUGAAACCCCCAAACCCCUCUAACUACAAUUCCCUUCGUAUGAAAAACUUAUUUGGUAGGCAGGGAUUGCCAAAUUUAGAUAAGAUAGUGCAAACAUCUAAAAAUGCAAUCUUUACAAGAAAACAACAUCAUAUUAAGAGCUUGCUACAGAAUUGUAAAGGUCACCGAACAAAAAAUAUGACCUCAUGAAACUUGCUACAGGGGAAUAAUCUUCCACAUUUCUUCAGAGCAACAACAUAAUUUGGCAUGACUUCGAACCAAUAUCUCAUCACAACAAUAUCAAGUAUAUCACAGUAACAACAUGAUUUCUCAUAACAGCAUGACUUGGAAUAAAAAAUAUCUCAUCCAUGAUCUUUCACAGCAACACCAUAAUUUUGCAACAAACAUAAUGGAACACAUGACUUGUGCAAUAGCUCACAAUCAGUUAUAUUAUUACAGCCCAAGCAACGUUGAGAAUAAUGUUGUCAUGCAGAAGAAUUGCUCUUAAUGAUGUCAUCAUCAUCCAGUUUUUGAACGACCAAAAGUUUGUCCAGAUUGUUUAAUCUUGCUUCUCUGGUUGCCUGGGAACCUGAUUAUUAAACAAAAGCAAAAUGAGAGUGACAAAGCUUAAAUAGGCCAACCUAUGUUCUAGUACUCCAGGUCUUAUGAGAGUGACAACACAAAAGCAAAAGUUUGUAGGCAAAAUUAUGUAUGCUAAGCUACAGAAUGGUCAUCAUCAUAACUUAUGAAGAGUUGAGGUUUCAACGCUCGAGAACAAGCCCAUUAUAUGAAAAAAUAAUAAGCCACCACGCUUAACAGCAGCCAUGCUCCGAGCACCGCCACGCAGAUGCAGCAAUGAUGGACAAGCAUCGCUGCUGAACAUUCAAAAAAGGCCGAAAUUUUGGACCGGUUAGUACUAAUACCGGGCCCACGAGCAGUGCGAAUUUCAGCCGAAAUUCCUUUUUUUGGGACGAAAGCCAAAUCCCUGUACUACACAAGUACAGAAAAAAAAGGUUAAGCUUGUGUGACUGCUUCCAUGCUUGCUACUGCACUAUUUGAAAUCAUGUCAAAUUCCUCCAGCCCCUGCACUUUGAAAGAUCUGCAUCUUUAUUAUAUGCAAAACUGCUUGUAAUUUGGUCAUGAGAGUACAUGUGAACCAAAAAAAGAGUAGUUUAAUUCAUAUUAAUGCUGCACCUUGUGCAUGGGUAAGCAUUUGAUUUUAAAAGUGCACAUUCAUUCAGAAAGGCACAUCCACACCAUUAUCCAUUCACUCAAUCAGAAAGAAAGAAACAGGGUCUGAAGAAGAAUGAAUCCCUUCUCCAUUAAUUUUAUUCACACGUGAUUGACAAAUUCAGGUCAUGGUAACCCAUGAAUUGAAGACAAUUAGACAUACAGUCACUAGAUAUAUAUACACAGGGACACGACCAAUUAACAAGAGAAAGAAUUUUCGACAAAUACUGAACCUGCUACCCUUUAUCUUAAUGAGGUCAGUAGAGCACCUGCUGCCUUUGUCCUGAAAACAGAGUAAACAAACUAGUUGAAAAAGGUCAUCUUAUCACCAUAAAAAUCAGUAUGGUUACAGGCUAGCACCCUCGGAUGCUCCAUAACAGUACUAACUAACAAUGGAUCGGCAGAAGGACAGUAACAAGUAUUAGGAAGCAGGAUGCUAAAUCGCCGGCUUCAACACUAUAUACCAAGACCCCAGAUCACAUAUAUGAAUAAUUAACAGAGAUCGAACCCUGCGACAAACUACAAAGAUCGCACUGAUGUCGGUCAACAUGAAAGCUUAUCACCAUUGCUCGAAAUGAAGUCUUGUAACUGUAAGAAGCAAACUAACUUUCUUAGUCUGAAGCAACGUUUCUUCAGACUCCGGGUUCCUAAACUUCCAUUCAGAAGAAAAUUGGAUCUCAACAAUCCUAACCGAACUUUCUUUUAUCUUUUUUCAGGAAACCCAAAGGAGCACAGGCCCCGAAUUUCGUUUUCAUGAGUGGAACUGACAACACAACAUUCUAACUGAACUAUGCAUUCUCCGAAGCUGCAGCGACCCGCCGCAUCCCCCAGACCAACACCGACCCGUCGAAGAACCCCGACGGCCGACGCGCUGCUGGAGAAGAUCGCCAAGCUGGACCUGCUGACCGAGAUCAGCGCCGUCAGGAGCAGGUCCGACCUCAACUUCAGAGGCAACGUCAGGGACGUGGUGUCCCUCUCCCGGACCCCUGCGCCCACAACUACGGCGCCGAGCCCUACAUCGUCGCCCACAACUUGGUGACGGCCGGCACCUCAGGAGGAAGAGGCAGCAGCCAUGGCCGCAGGGCCGGUCCUGAAAUUUCAGGGGCCCGGGGCGAAACAAAAACUCGGGGCCCCCUGAUAUAAACGUCAUAAUAAUAAUAAGCAAAAUCUAUGGAUACAUUCUUACCGGUAAUUUUUUUUAUCACUGAUGUAUACACUAUUUUCCCGCAGAAAAAUGUAUAUAUUGUUAUUGUCGAUGUUGAUGUCAAUAUUUCCUUGUUGUUAAGAUUCAGAAUUCCCAUUAUUAGUUGGUUCCGCUUCCUUCAUUUGGGUUCGUCGAAGCACCAAUAAGGCAAAUGAUCCAAUAUUACUUUUGAAAAUAGAAAUCAAUAGCUCCUCUCUGUGAUUCUACCACCACACGUUGUUCCUUUUCCUUUAUUUUUUCUACCAGAAGCAUACUUUGUAGACCACAUGAUAACAAAGGGCUAGCAUACUUGUUUUAAGAAAAGGGAUAGGGUUUUUAUUUUAUUUUGCAUCAAAAGGUUGAACAGUGUAAGGUAUGCAUCAUGUAAAUUGGAGUGUUUAAUUAACAGUAUGCAUAUAGGAAAAUGGUUACGUGAAACGUGAUAUACCUCAUAUCUGUCAGAUCGGCGUCGACGAACUCUCGGUGCGGCAAUGGUGCGAUGCGUACUGGCGUCUGCGGGACGCACUCAACGAUGUCCAUGUGCUUGAGCGCCUAGGGACAGAGGAGCGUAGUUUGUCGGCGUACUGCGGCAGUCAUGGCCCUGGUUGAAACCGUCCAGCACCGGCGAGGCUGCAACUAACGAUCGGAGCUCAGCCGAAUUUACUAGCGUAGUGGGGAAUUAGGGAUCGUAGCAAAGAACAAGAUAUGCGACUCGUGAUGGAAAGAAAACAAAAACAAAACUGGCAACUCGCAAUUCUCCCGUAGUAGGAACCGGGAUUCUCGCGAUUGUGGGAUACCUAAGCACGCAACGUGCCUGUUAGCUGAAUGUUUUGCAUAGACAAAAUCAAUGCUGAUGGCCUGUUACCGGAGGCUGCGUACCGUGCCAUGGCAUGGGCUAGCUGCAUACGGCAUACCUGGCGGGGCCCCUAGAUUGCGGGGGCCCGGGGCGGCCGACCCCCCUGCCCCCCCUCAGGGCCGGCCCUGCAUGGCCGAUGGCAAACCGUAGACGACGAGGGGAAAGGAGGGGAGGCGAGGACAUACCACCGGAGAGAAGUCCAAUACGCCGGACGAGGUACGCCGGCGUCGAGGCGUCGGGCGGCGGUGUCUUGGGGAGGCACUGGAUGGCGGAGAGAGGAGUGGGGCGGCGGCGUCUUCACGAGUCGAGCGGCGGCGUCUCCAAAUCCUCGAGGCCUCGCGAGGUUAAUCCUCCGAAAACCCCUUCAACCCACGCCAAACAAACGAGGCCUAAUGGAAAUCGGAGGGGGAAAGCCCCUCUUUGACAAGAAAAACUACACAAAACUGCUGUUAAAAAAAGCAACUGGGAGAAUAGGAGGAGGAAGAAGAGUUGCUAAACCUUCGAGUUGAUCACAAGUGGGAGAAGAGGAACGGGGAGGAGUAGGAUGCUAGGAUCUAUGGCCAAUGUAGAAUUGUAGACGCUCUAAAAUGAGGUGGAGUAUAUACAGCGCAGGUGAGUCACCGUCCCUGACGGCUGAAAAUAUAGCUAUAUAAAGUAAAAUAAAGUAAAAUAAAAAGAGGGCAUUGCCAGAUCCUAUCAAACUCAAGAGCAUUUGAUCAAUCAAGACCAGAUCCUACCGAAUAGAACACCAUUUGAUCUCGUAGUGGCACAACUUGUCAGCCGCAAUGGAGGUACUACCACGGUGGAGAAGUUUUAGUGGGGGCAAAUAGUAAAUAUGGAGAUAUGAGGGGAUCAAAUAAUAAAUAAAUCCCAUAUAAGCCCUCCAAUUUUCUUCUUAUUUCUAAGGCUGGGGNNNNNNNNNNNNNNNNNNNNNNNNNNNNNNNNNNNNNNNNNNNNNNNNNNNNNNNNNNNNNNNNNNNNNNNNNNNNNNNNNNNNNNNNNNNNNNNNNNNNNNNNNNNNNNNNNNNNNNNNNNNNNNNNNNNNNNNNNNNNNNNNNNNNNNNNNNNNNNNNNNNNNNNNNNNNNNNNNNNNNNNNNNNNNNNNNNNNNNNNNNNNNNNNNCUUUCUACAUGUCAUCCCUCUUGUAUGCCUAGUACUACCUCCGUCUAGGUGAAUAGGUCAUUCACGUAGUUCUAGGUCAUCGAUUUGAGCAAUUAAAUAUGUGUUAUAUGUCAUGAAAAGUAUAUCACUAGAUUUCUACACGAAUGUAGUUUUUAAAUAUAUAUGUUUUAUCACAUAUAACACAUAUUUAGAUAGUUAAAUUAUUGACAUAGAACUAUGCGAAUGACUUAUUCACCGAGGCGGAGGUAGUACUACCAUUGAACCAUGCGUAGGAGGUAUCCCAAUCCUCCUGUGACCGCACCGACCGCAGGGAUGUACACCCCAUGCCAACCCCACCUGCUGCCAUGCCUGCACAACUACACUAAGCUAUUGUUAAAAAAACAAAGCAAAGAGGAGAAGAGGAGGAUCAAGAAGAGAAGAGAUGCAAAACCUUUGAGUUGAUCACAAGUAGGAGAAGGGGAACGGAGAGGAGUAUGAGGCUAGGAGCAAUGGACAAUGUAAAAAUGAGGUGGAGUAUAUAGUGCAGGUGAGUCACGGUCCCUGAUGACUGAAAAAAUAGAUAGAAAAGUAAAAUAUAAGGAGGGCAUUGCCAGAUCACCGAACCAAACACCAUUUGAUCUUGAAGUGGCACAGCUUGUCAACCGCAAUGGAGGUACUACCACACUGAAGAAAUUUUAAUUGGAGCAAAUAGUAAAUAUGCAGAUAUGAUGGGGCCNNNNNNNNNNNNNNNNNNNNNNNNNNNNNNNNNNNNNNNNNNNNNNNNNNNNNNNNNNNNNNNNNNNNNNNNNNNNNNNNNNNNNNNNNNNNNNNNNNNNNNNNNNNNNNNNNNNNNNNNNNNNNNNNNNNNNNNNNNNNNNNNNNNNNNNNNNNNNNNNNNNNNNNNNNNNNNNNNNNNNNNNNNNNNNCCCCACCCACACACAUAGCUCUGCCAUUAUGGGAGAGGAUCUGUGGCACACAGACCAUCAGACGUGUGCUUUUAUUUUUGGCUUCCGAUUUUCAAACUUCUAUAUCUUUUGAACGAAAAUUCUAAAUUCAGUUAUGUUUUCAUAUUUGUGUUUCUCGUGGCAAGAGCUUUCAAAUAAGAUCUAUUUUAAAUACAUUUUGAUGAAUUUUGAAAAUAAAUGUUCAGUUUUAACUCUUGAAACUUAGUACGAGCAAACAACCAAAUCACGAUUUUUUGCCUACAACCAAAAAAAAAUCUUAAUAUUUUAUCUACAAAACUUGGUAAAAACCAGUGAGAAAAUCGCAAGUUUCCGACUGAAACUUAAAACUUACUAUGCGCUCAUGUGGGCUCCAAUUACUUUGCGAAUCGUGAGGCAAUCGAGCGGUCGGGCUGGGUUUGGCAGGUGUGUGCCCCCGCACUUGCGUGCCCCUGCGAAUUUGCGCUUCUAUUAUAUAUAGUCAUACUGUGAGAUGGGCUGAGAUUAUACAAUAACUAGUUCAUGCUUAAAUGAAUGAACCCAUUAGCAAAAAUUUCUGGCCUGAUGAAUGCUAUGGUCAGCAAAUGCCAAGCAUGCACGGAGUGCAUUGAGGUGGUGCUUGAUGUUCUUUCGCGCGUCUCCAAUUGCCGCUGAUGACUGGAGAGACAGGUGAUUGACGUGGUGCCUGGUGGGGAACAGUGGUCUCUACAGAACUGGAAUUAGUAUUAGCCUAUCUCCAUCUGUUAUACAAAACUAGAACAAUGCCCGUGCGUUGCAACGAAAUAUAAAUAUUCUAGUACAUUAGCUUGUGAUUUACCUAUCAAUAAUAAUGCGAUUGUAUAAAUAUUCUAGUACAUUAGCUUGUGAUUAACCUAUCUCCGUCUGUUGUACAAAGUAAUAUUAGGCUAUCUCCAUCUGUGCAAUGUAGCUCAUUUCUCAUGGAUAUUUUCUCUGCAGCCAUUUUUGCAACAAUGUUGGCUAUAAUGUGGAAAAUUUGUGCUGGUAUUUAUCUGUUGAACGUGUAUUCUUCUUUAUGGAAAAAUGAAAGUGCAACUAUCCCUAGGUGGUUUUGGUAAUUCAUAACAACAUAUAGCUCAUUGAGCUAAUGCUAUUUCAAGACAAAUAUUUCAGGAAAGCUCAAUGAAUGGCAUGGCAUGGAUGAUGAAAGUGGAUCCCUCAAAAUAUCAAGGACAAAGGAUUGGCUCAAGCUCAAAAGCUCAAGACUCUUCAUUUUAUAUUUUAGUGAUCCAAGAUCACAUUGAGUCUAUAGGAAAAGCCAAUACUAUCAAGGAGGGAUGAGGUGUUGCUUAAUGAGCCUUUUGCUUCAUGUGCUUAGUGAUAAGCUCCAAAUACCCUCAACUACUUUCUCACAUCCACAUAUGACCUAAACCCAAAGUCAAAAUCGGUCCCGCCGAUUCUUCCUAUCCGGCGCCACCGAGUUCAAAUGUCAUAGCCACUGCCACAAACCCUAGGCAAAUCGGUCCUACCGAUAGGGAUCUCGGUCUCACCGAGAUGGGGUUGUAAUCUCUCUGUUUCCCUUCGUAACGUUUCGGUCUAACCGAAGUGAGCGAUCGGUCCCACCGAGAUUGCAAUGUAAACUCCCUGUUUCCCUUUCGUAACAUUUUGGUCUCACCGAAAUGAGGGAAUCGGUUCCACCGAGUUUACCUGACCAACUCUCUCGAAAGCUUAUUACCAAAAUCGGUCUCACCGAGUUUGUGCAAUCGGUCUUACCGAGAUUACGUUAUGCCCUAACCCUAACCAUAUUGGUCCUACCGAGUUGCAUGUCGGUCCCACCGAAAAUCCUAACGGUCACUAGGUUUACUAAAUCGGUCUGACCGAGUUUGUUGAAUCGGUCCCACCGAGUUUGUAAAUUGUGUGUAACGGUUAGAUUUUGUGUGGAGGCUAUAUAUACCCCUCCACCUCCUCUUUAUUCGUGGAGAGAGCCAUCAGAACAAACCUACACUUCUAACUUACCAUUUCUGAGAGAGAACCACCUACUCAUGUGUUAAGGCCAAGAUAUUCCAUUCCUACCAUAUGAAUCUUGAUCUCUAGCCUUCCCAAGUUGCUUUCCACUGAAAUCUUCUUUCCACCAGAUCCAAAUCCUAUGAGAGAGAGUUGAGUGUUGGGGAGACUAUCAUUUGAAGCACAAGAGCAAGGAGUUCAUCAUCAACGCACCAUUUGUUACUUCUUGGAGAGUGGUGUCUCCUAGAUUGACUAGGUGUCACUUGGGAGCCUCCGACAAGAUUGUGGAGUUGAACCAAGGAGUUUGUAAGGGCAAGGAGAUCGCCUACUUUGUGAAGAUCUACCGCUAGUGAGGCAAGUCCUUCGUGGGCGACGACCAUGGUGGGAUAGACAAGGUUGCUUCUUCGUGGACCCUUCAUGGGUGGAGCCCUCCGUGGACUCGCGCAACCGUUAUCCUUCGUGGUUUGAAGUCUCCAUCAACGUGGAUGUACGAUAGCACCACCUAUCGGAACCACGCCAAAAACAUCCGUGUCUCCAAUUGCGUUUGAAUCCUCCAAACCCUUCCCUUUACUUUCUUGCAAGUUGCAUGCUUUAAUUUCCGCUGCUCAUAUACUUUUUGCAUGUUUGCUUGAAUUGUGUGAUGAUUGCUUGACUUGUCCAAAGAUAGCUAAAAUCUGUCAAACUCUAAAAUUGGGAAAAGGUUAAGUUUUUAAUUGGUCAAGUAGUCUAAUCACCCCCCUCUAGACAUACUUCAAGGUCCUACAAGUGGUAUCAGAGCCUUGGUCUCCAUUUGCUUUGAUUUCCAUAGCUUUUGGUGGUCAUAGCCUUGGUUUCACAACCUAGGAGAGUAUGGCGUCUAGCGAGGGAAAUUAUCACCAUAGAGGUCCUUACUUUGAUGGUACUAAUUUUGCUAGUUGAAAGCAUAAGAUGAAAAUGCAUAUUUUUGGACAUAACCCCGCCGUUUGGGCUAUUGUGUGUAUUAGCUUGCAAGUUGAAUUCUUUGAUGGGAGAUAGCCAAACCGUGAAGCUAGCGCGAAAGAGUUGAAGAUGCUACAAUACAACGCUCAAGCUUGUGAUAUCCUCUUCAACGAAUUGUGCCCCGAGGAAUUCAACAAAAUCAGCCGUCUUGAGAAUGCAAAGGAAAUUUGGGAUACUUUGAUUGAUAUGCAUGAAGGUACCGACUCCGUCAAGGAAUCCAAGUUGGAUGUGCUCCAAAGUCAGCUUGACAAGUUCAAAAUGAAGGAUGGUGAAGGUGUCGCUGAAAUGUACUCUAGGCUUGCACUUAUCACAAAUGAGAUUGCCAGCUUAGGGAGUGAAGAGAUGACCGACAGAUUCAUCAUCAAGAAGAUCCUAAGAGCAUUGGAUGGAAAGUACGAUACCAUGUGCACAUUGAUCCAAAUGAUGCCAAACUACAAAGAUCUCAAGCCAACGGAAGUCAUUGGAAAAAUUGUUGCUCAUGAGAUGUCACUCAAGGAUAAGGAGGAACUUCACAACAAGUCAAGUGGUGCUUACAAAGCCUCAUGUGAAGCCCCCACAUCAUCAAGUGAGAAACAAACCUUCAAUGAAGAAUUGAGCUUAAUGGUGAAGAACUUCAACAAAUUCUACAAGAGUAGAAGCAAAUAAAGAAGCUCUAAGUCAAGGUCUUACAAUGACAAAAGAUCUUCCAGUCGAGAGCGCAAUUGCUACAAUUGUGGGAGACCCGUACACUAUUCCAAUGAGUGUACGGCACCCUACAAAAGAAGAGAAGAUUCUCCAAGAAGAAGAAGCAAAAGAGAAGAAUCACCACCAAGAGAGAGGAGGAGUAGAGAUGAUCGUUAUGAACAAAGACCCUCACGAAGAAGCAAGGAUUCGAAAAGGAAGGACAAGUCAUCAAGGAGCUACACAAAACGAAGACAUCAAGCUCAUGUUGGUGAAUGGGUAUCCGACUCCGACUCCGACAAUCACUCCGAGAGAAGCUAUCACUCCGACUCCGAAUAUACUCAAGAUGAAGGUGUUGCCGGUCUAGCACUUGUGUCAACCAACUCCUACGACAUAUUUGACUCACCAAAUGAAGGAAUUGGAAGAUGCUUCAUGGCCAAAGGUCCAAAGGUAACACAUCCCGAGUAUGUUGAUUUCAAUAGUGAUGAAGAUGACUUGCUAGUUGAUGAUGAUUUACUUGACAACUCUAGUGAUGAAUACUAUGAUGAAACGUCAAUUAAUCAUGCUAAUCAAGAUAAAACGAAUGACAAUGAUAAGGAGAAGAUUGAGCUUCUAACUAAAGAACUAAACACUCUUAAGUUAGCUCAUGAAACUAUCUUCGAAGAUCAUCGAGAACUUUUAAGGGCUCAUGAGAAGUUACGCUUUGAAAAUCUCAAUCUUGAGCAAGAUCAUGAGUUCCUAAAAGCAAUCAAUGAUGAUCUCCGUAAGAAAAGUUCUUCUUACAUUGCCAAGCGUUUACUCUUAUCUACUUACAUGCCUCAAGUCAAGUCUAGUAACAAGUAUAAAAAAGAUCCUUCCUCUAGUAGUAACAAUAAUAAUGCCAAAUCCAAUAUUGUUGCUUCUAGUAGUUCUCUUGAUUCCACUAAUGAUUCUCUUAACCAAGUUACACUUGAGCAAGAAAAUAGCUUAUUGAAGGGAAUAAUAGAGAAAGGUGUUUACAAGAGCCUUGCCGGGAGUAAGCAAUUCGAGGAAAUUGUAUGCAAGCAAGGAAGGCACCGGAAGAAUCAAGGUGUUGGUUUUGAACGAAAGUUCAAUGCCAAUGGAGUUGAGUGGGAAGAAGAUCAAUACCCCAAGACAAAGUUUGUUACUCAACAAGAGAAGUAUGGUCAUACUUCCUUCAAGGGAACACAAGCACAAGAUGAUCUUACACCACAAGACCACAACAGGAAUGGCAAGGACAAGCUUCAAGAGGAGAUUGAUGCAUUUGAAGAAGCACCUAAGGCCUCGGUCAAGUGGGUUCCUAAGACUACGUCAAGUUCUACCUCAUCAAGUACAACUACAACUCCAAGGAUUCCCAUCAAGAUGAUGUGGAUCCCGAAGAAGAAGAACUAGAGAGUUCUUGAGGGUGACUCCACCAACAUUCUUCACUCAUAUCAUUAUGGCAAGGACAAGUGCAAUCAACUUACACAUCUUUCACUAGUUCAAGGAGUCACAAACCCUCAUGUUGGUAAGGCAAGGGACAAGGUAACCUAAUGAUUUCAUGGACAUCAUCUUGUGUGUGCAUCACUCUAUGUCUAUGGAUAUUCUUGUUUGUUCCUUGUGGUACUAACCCAUGCAGGUAUGUUGAAAGUGCAACUCACUCCAAAGGAUUGCUCCAAAUGAUCUACAUCAACAUUGAGCACCCACACCUUCAACACCUACAUGAAGUCAUCAUCGACAAAACCCAAGGUUAGUUCAUCCCUCUAAAAGGGAUCUCACAUCUAGGGGGAGCUUAACUCUAAGAAUUGAGUCAAAGUAACUCUAAUGGUGUGAACACAUCAAUGCAUUAUGUAAAAGUGGUAACCCCACUUGAGCUUAAACGAUGAGUAUGACCUAUGAUCAAAUGUUCUCAUUUGACUGACUCCUAAGUCAAUAUACUCAUAUAUAGAUGACCUAGUCAUCGCCAAUGUUUGUAGAUGCUAGAAGUGGUUGUGCAUGCUUUGCCACAUAUUUCAUUUGCCAUUUUAUUGUGUGAGCAUGUUGGUUGCAUAUUUUACUCAUUUGAGGACAUCCACUUGUUGCUUUGAUUGUUUGGGUUCUUUUUCUUUUUGCCAAGUGGAUGGACAAGAAUGCCUAAGAACCUUCUCUAGCCAUCUAUGCUUUUCUCGUCUCAAACUCUAUUCAUGCUACAUCACAAAAUUUGAUCAAGUCAGAUUCGAACCACUCUGUGUGAGGAGCACUCGGAGUCCCCGAUUCGUCAUAGACUUAAACUUCCAAAACUUCUUUGUGAUUCCCGGUCUGACCGAUUCCUCCAUUUCGGUCCUACCGAGAUCACUAAGUCGAUCUAGGUUUUCAAUCUCGGUGUAACCGAUUUGAACUUUUCGGUCACACCGAGUUGCAGUAACUGUAUACAGUUAUGCAUCUCGGUGCCACCGAGUUGUUCCACUCGGUCACACCGAUAGGGUCGGGCUAUAUAUACUCAUGGGCAAAAAUUUGGAAAUUUCUCCGAACCUCUUCGCGCCCGCAAUAGCUUGCUCUGCCACCAGGGUCUCCGGAUCGUCUCCUCGUCGCCAGCCGCCUCCUGUCGCUGGUCUCCGCCACCGUCAAUGGAUUUCACCCCCGCCGGUGCCGCCGUAUCGAGUUCAUCGCCAAGCUAGGGUAUGGACUCGAUCACAGUGCUAUCCUCGUCCGAUUCCUAGCACAUUGUGUUUAUUAUGAUUCUUGCCAUGAUUGAAACACUCCUAUCCAGUCAAUACAAUCCUUAGAUUAGAUGCGAUUUGAAAAUUUAGGGUUAGGUUUCCGCCGAAACCAUCUCGGACCCACCGAGUUGAAAAACUCGGUCCCACCGAUUUGGCUAACGCCAUUGCACUAGUAACUCUCGGUCUGACCGAGAAUUGCUAAUCGGUGUGACCGAUUUUAGGACUUUGUGAAACUCUAGCAGUCUCGGUGCCACCGAACUGUGACUCGGUCCGACCGAGUUCACCAGUUUAGGUUCCAAAAACUGCUUCGGUAUCACCGAGUUUGAAAAUCGGUUGAUCCGAAAUGCUUUCUGUGGAAAACUAAAACUGAAUUUUUGAAUCAUUCUUUUGCAAAAAUCUCUGCAUUUUGUGAUGCUCAUCCACUCUAUCUCAUCUAUAACUAUUCAUAGGGUCAGCAGCCAGUGAUUUGCAGCAUGUCAGACCAAAGUGAUAGUCAGAACAAGUCAGAAGAGCAUAAUCACAUGAGUGAGGGCACUAGUCCCUCUAGCACUUCAGAUGAUGGCAGCAGGAGCACCCCAAGCAAUCUGCCUAAAGCUAUCACCAGGACAAGGAAGAAGAGAACCUCAGAAUCUGAAGAUGAGGAUUAUAUGGCAGAAGAAGAUGAGUCUACCUCCAAGAAGGUAGUGCUAAAAAAGGAGUAUGCCUCAGCAAAGAACAUAAAGCCUGGACUCAAUAGGAAGGUUCCUGCCAAGAGGACACCUAUGCUGAAGGUCAGAGGAUCAACACAAGUGCCUGAAAAGACAGAACCCAAAGAGGCACCUGCAAGAAGAGUCACAACUUCCAAACCCAAGAAAGUUCCCACUGGAGAAACUAUGAAUUUUACCAUUGAAUCAGAAGAUGAAGUUGUUGGUCAAGAUAAGAAGAAGAAGAGAGCCAAAACCACUACUUCCCAGGUUCUUGGAAAUCCCUCUAUGAGGAGAGACUCUGAAGAGGAAGAAGAGGUUGCUGCACCAGCACCCAAGGCACAAAAGCUAAUGGGUGAUGCUAUUAAGUCAGGGGCUGCAACAUCAAAGCCCAAGGAAGCACCCAAAGCUGCCCCCAAGCCCAAGCUUGCACCAAAGAGGAAUACCAGGAGUAUUCCAGCUGCUGAGAAGAACAAGGCCCCAGUGCCUGAAGUUGUUGAUGAGGAAGAUGAUGAAGGACAAGUCCUGAGAAAGCUAAAGCCCAAGAUUCCAGACCACAGUGAUGCUCAUCCUAUGGCUGAGAACAUGAAGUUGAGAAAGGAUGAAUGACUCAGAUUGUGGAGGCUGACAUAUCCAUAUGCCACCAAGAGAAGGACUACUGUUGAUUACAAGUUCCACACUAAGGAACAGUAGGACUUCUAUGAGACAGUGUUGUUGGACAAGAAACCAAUAGUGUGUGAUAUGAGGUGGGUCGACUGGACCUAUAUGAAGGAAAAUGAGGAACACUAUCCUGGAGUGCAAGAUAGAUUUGUUGCUUGUGGAGUUGCAGACUUUGUUGGGCAGAAGCUCACAAAGUGGAAUGAUGAGCUCAUUAUGCAAUUCUACUCCACAGCACAUUUCUAUCCAGAUGGCAGGAUAGUUUGGAUGUCUGAAGGUACAAGGUACCAGUCAACAAUUGAGGAAUGGGCCAGUCUAAUCAAUGCCCCAAAGGAGAGUGAAGAUGACUUGGAUGUCUAUGCCAAGAAGAAGAUGGACCACAAUACCAUGGCUCAUAUGUACAAGGAGAUCCCAAACAAAGCUCUUGAGACUUUCAAGUUUGGGUCAGUCCACUUUCUUCUGUCAGGGCUGCCAACCAUCAACUGGAUCCUAAGGCACACUCUGUUGCCCAAGUCAGGUGACCACAACAUGAUUAGAGGGCAUGAUAUCAACUUGCUGCACUUGUUUGAUGUGCCACAAAAAUUCAAGGUCAUGAGCCUCAUUGUUGAGACCAUUAAGAGAACAGCAGCAGAUCAAAAGAGGAGUUGUGGGUAUGCCCCACAGAUUCAGGAGUUGAUUAACUCAAAGAUGGGCACAUGAACUUACUUGCUGGAUAAGGAACAUUUUGCUAUCUAUCCAGACUUUGAGGACAAUCAAGUUGUGAUGAAUGAGAAUGAACCAUCAUCAGUGCAAGCUCAAGAGCAGAAGGAGAAGGCAAAGAGAGAGAAGGCUGCCAAGAUGCCAACUCAAGAGGAGGCAUCUGAAUACUUUUUGAAGAACAAGCAGGAGCAGCUUGGUUACUUGAUAGCAUCAACUCUGAGGAUUGAGAAGGGGUUAGCCACCCUAACUCAAAACCAGGAGAGCCUGGAAAGAAUCAUGGAACAAAAAUUCUAUGAUCUAGAUGUCAAAGUAACUGAGAUUCAGUCAGUUGUGGAGCAGCUUCAGGAUGACAUGCAGGAGAGGAAGGGCAAGACAACCACUGAUGCAUUUUCCAGAGUGCCUAGAGCUCAUAGGUCAGUUGCAGUGCCUGUGACAGACUCCAGAGCCACAUCAUCUGCACCAGCUACAGCUCCUACAGCUCCAGUGCAAUCAGCUCCAGCACCAACUCCUUCAGCUCCAUCCACUUCAACUGAAGCCUUCAUCCAAGGAGCCAUCUCUACACCUCCACCUGAAGAUCAAGCCUGAGAGUCGAUCUAGCACUAUGCAUUUUCUAUGAACUUUUUGGUAACUUGUUGCCAAACACUACUAGGAAAAACCCUACUAGUAGCGCGUGUUUUGAGGCUAGCAGCAGCGUGGGUGGCCGCACUACUAAUAAGGCGCUACAGCUAACUCAUAGUAGUAGCGCGUCCCUAACCCACACUACUACUGUUGACGAUAUCAGCAGCGCUUUUUAAGAACGCGCUACUAUUAACUAGCUGUAGCGAUUUCGCCAUCCCUCACUACUGCUAUAUCUUUCAUCAUUUUCCCAUUACCCCUUUCCCUUUCAGUUUCCCUUUCAGAUACUAGAUACUAGGUACUGCUAGUAGAUAUCAAAUUCAUAAACCAUUACUAGGUAGUACUCCCUUCGUUCCAAAUUACUCGUCAUGGUUUUAGUUCAAACCACAACGAGUAAUUUGGAACGAAGGGAGUACUAGAUAACAAUUUCAUGCAUAGUCAACAUGCAUCCUCAAGCAGUACAAGGUCAUAUCAACGGCCAUCAUCAUAUGUAGUUCUAGAUGAUAUUGACGACGAUCAUCAUAUGUAGUUCUAGAUGAUAUAGCCACACACACAUAUGUAGUUCUAGAUGAUAUAGCCACACACACAUAUGUAGUUCUAGAUGAUAUCGAAGACAAUCAUCAUCCUCAAGCCUGGGCGGUUGGUGUUCCUGAUAGUAAUUAGGAUGGCCUGUCCAACACGAAGAUUCUUGCCAUCGAGGAAUUUCUUCCACCCAACCGAGUUUAAGUGUGUGCGACCAUCCGUGUCCACAUGGUAAGUACAGGUUGUGACGGAGCCCCUUGCAGUAAGGCGUAGUCCAGCUGAGCCUUCUUCAUCAGGCUCGAUACCAUAACUCACAGAUAUGCUCUUUGCCAAUUUCUGAAUAAGAAAAACAUAUCAAUUAAUAAAUAGCCUCGCAAAUAAGUACAUAUGGAUUAUCUACACUAUUAAUAGUUUCCUUAGAUUCUACACUAAUAAGCAUGUGAUCUAACUCUACACUAAAACAUAUCAUCGACUAGAUUCCACACAACAUACCAUAUCAUUGGACUGUACACUAAGUAAUUCGUCGGAUAAUUUGCAUUUGUAAGUAUAACAUACCAUAUCAUGUCGAUCAACCAUGGUAUUUGUCAAGCGGGUCACGAAUGGCACCCCGACAAAGUCAGCACAUGGCAGAAUUAUGUCCCAUAGGUUGGACACCUCCUCCUCACUCAGCCUUGUUCUUUGAGCUACGAUGGCUUCAUGAAGUGGGUCCUCAUCAUCUUCAUCGAGUGGGUCCUCAUUAUCUUCAUCAUCUUCAUCAUCUUCAUCAUCUUCAUCAUCUUCAUCAUCUUCCACCAGGUUGAGAUAAAUGACAGCUAGCUUGGGUCUUUCUGCUCGGAAGGAGAAGCUGAUCAACUCACCACCAGUAAGACGCAUGCGAGCGACGAAAUGGGCCCAUCCAUCUCCUCCAAUUUGCGACAUAUUGCAUCCUUUCUCGACCUCCAUAGUGUACGACCCCCCCAGGAGCCUCAAAUGUCACAGUGUCUCCUGUCAGCUUGUUAAAUUUCAACCUCACAUUGCAUGGGACGAUCUGUGUAAAAUAAGAAAAAUGACACAAUGCAGUAAUGCCAACACUAAAAAUAAAAUAGUUAUUACAUUUCAUCUAAUUUCUUACCGCCGCAUGACGAAAACUCGGCUGGAAGUAGAUGCCGGACAGCUUGCCAGUUGCAAGGCUGUUGGCGCAUCUUGACUUGCAUAGUCGACAUAGUGGUGGUGGUGGUGGCGCCAUUUUUCCUAAAGCAAUAUAAGCAAAGGAUUAAUGAUCAACUAAAUCAAAAUGUUUCAAGUGAACUAAAUCAACUAGCCUACUAAAUCAACUAAAUCAAAAUGUUCUAAAUCAACUAAAUCAACUAGCCUACUAAAUCAACUAAAUCAAAAUGUUCUAAGUCAACUAAAUCAACUAGCCUACUAAAUCAACUAAAUCAUAUCAACUAAAUCAAAAUGUUGCAUAUGAACUAGCCUACUAAAUCAACUAAAUCAAAAUGUUCUAAGUCAACUAAAUCAACUAGCCUACUAAAUCAACUAAAUCAAAAUGUUCUAAAUCAACUAGCCUACUAAAUCAACUAAAUCAAAAUGUUCUAAAUCAACUAGCCUACUAAAUCAACUAAAUCAAAAUGUUCUAAAUCAACUAAAUGAACUAGCCUACUAAAUCAACUAAAUCAAAAUGUUCUAAGUCAACUAAAUCAACUAGCCUACUAAAUCAACUAAAUUAUAUCAACUAAAUCAAAAUGUUGCAUAUGAACUAGCCUACUAAAUCAAAAUGUAGCGGGCAGGAGGGAGAAGGAGGGGUGACUCAAGGAGGGAGAAGAGAGUAGGAUGGAGGAGGAAGGCGGAGCGAGGAGGGGUCGGCCGGCGCGGCCAGUUGAGGGAGGACGGAGGAGGAAGGCGGAGCGAGGAGGGGCCGACCGGCGUGGCCAGUUGAGGGAGGACGGAGGAGGAAUGCGGAGCGAGGAGGGGCCGGCCAGCGGCGAGUGGAGAGGAAGGACGGAGGAGGAGGCCGGUACCGAGUCCAGCAAGGAGGAGGAGGUGACGGCGCGCGGCGCAGACGGAGGAGGGGCGACGGGGGUGGACCGGCGCGCGGCGCAGACGGAGGAUUGAGUGUGUGACUGUAUGAGUGGAUCGGAUAGAGGAGAUGGGGGUAGGAGAUGAAUGGCUUAGCAGUAGCGCGCUAUAGGAAAAUGCGCUACUGCUAAGCUAUCUAGCAGCAGCGCCUUUCACAAUAAAGCGCUGCUGCUAUGUGCCAGCAUGUAAAAAUAGACUUUGUUCAAUAUAUCAAAAAUACAUUAAUCAUCAAUGAUCUUUUUGUGUACAAUCUGAUUUGUCAAUAUGAGUCCUCACCGGUUUAGAAGCAGGUGAAGACUCAUAUUGCAGCCACAAAUUCUAUACAUAGAGUUCAAUGAAGACCAAGUGCUUGUCAAAGUUUGAGAAGUAACAUAUUUAAGGUGGUAGAAACUCUCUUCACGGAGCGAGGUGGGACUAAAUUUUCGUAGGAAACUUAGCAGUAGCGCUUAUCUGAGAAAUGCGCUGCUAAUAUGCUACGUAGCAGUAGCACCCGUCGCUAUAACGCGUUGCUGCUAUAACUAGCCUCGCGGCGGCCUCGUGAGAAUUAUAGCAGCAGCGCUUCUUUGAACGGGCGCGCUACUGCUAUAUUUGUUUCAGCAGCGAGUUUCGGCUGGGCACGCUACUGCUAAUUAGCAGCAGCGCCUUAUUUUAAAGCGCGCUGCUGAUAAGAUUCUGUGUAUAGGCUUUUCCCUAGUAGUGAAAGGGGGAGAAAAAUGUAUAGAUCAUAGGCUUCGAGAGAGAGAGUGUGUUGCUUUUGUUCUCUCUUGCUUUGGUGGUUAAACUUUGUUUGCUUUUGAUUGCUUGAGAUACUAUGCUAUUAUCUGUGAGACAUUGAUAAUCAUGUGUUUGAUCAUAAGCUACACUUAUGCUUGUUUGAUGAUAUUAUCUUACCUAUCCUUAUGUGAUCAUUCACUUUGCUUGGUGAUGAGUGCAUGUAUUCAAUCUUUAUCAUUUUGAGUGAUCCACCAAGAUAUAUGUGACAUGAAAGAGUAACCCAUGAGCCUAAUUCCUUGUGCAUUUGCAGUCCAAAGCAAAUCUUAAACUAUGCACAAAUUUAGGGGGAGCUCUUGCUUAUCACAUACUUCUGAAAGCGACGAUGUUUUUCAAUCUUAUUAUCUUUUGUCGAAGCUUUGAUCUAUAUGUUGUCAUCAAUUACCAAAAAGGGGGAGAUUGAAAGUGCAACUAUCCCUAGGUGGUUUUGGUAAUUCAUAACAACAUAUAGCUCAUUGAGCUAAUGCUAUUUCAAGACAAAUAUUUCAGGAAAGCUCAAUGAAUGGCAUGGCAUGGAUGAUGAAAGUGGAUCCCUCAAAAUAUCAAGGACAAAGGAUUGGCUCAAGCUCAAAAGCUCAAGACUCUUCAUUUUAUAUUUUAGUGAUCCAAGAUCACAUUGAGUCUAUAGGAAAAGCCAAUACUAUUAAGGAGGAAUGAGAUGUUGCUUAAUGAGCCUCUUGCUUCAUGUGCUUAGUGAUAUGCUCCAAAUACCCUCAACUACUUUCUCACAUCCACAUAUGACCUAAACCCAAAGUCAAAAUCGGUCCCACCGAUUCUUCCUAUCCGGCGCCACCGAGUUCAAAUGUCAUAGCCACUGCCACAAACCCUAGGCAAAUCGGUCCUACCGAUAGGGAUCUCGGUCUCACCGAGAUGGGGUUGUAAUCUCUCUGUUUCCCUUCUUAACGUUUCGGUCUAACCGAAGUGAGCGAUCGGUCCCACCGAGAUUGCAAUGUAAACCCCCUGUUUCCUUUUCGUAACAUUUCGGUCUCACCGAAAUGAGCAAAUCGGUCCCACCAAGUUUACCUGACCAACUCUCUGGAAAGCUUAUUACCAAAAUCGGUCUCACCGAGUUUGUGUAAUCGGUCUUACCGAGAUUACGUUAUGCCCUAACCCUAACCAUAUCGGUCCUACCGAAUUGCAUGUCGGUCCCACUGAAAAUCCUAACGGUCACUAGGUUUACUAAAUCGGUCUGACCGAGUCUGUUGAAUCGGUCCCACCGAGUUUGGUAAAUUGUGUGUAACGGUUAGAUUUUGUGUGGAGGCUAUAUAUACCCCUCCACCUCCUCUUCAUUCGUGGAGAGAGCCAUCAGAACAAACCUACACUUCCAACUUACCAUUUCUGAGAGAGAACCACCUACUCAUGUGUUAAGGCCAAGAUAUUCCAUUCCUACCAUAUGAAUCUUGAUCUCUAGCCUUCCCAAGUUGCUUUCCACUCAAAUCUUUUUUCCACCAGAUCCAAAUCCUAUGAGAGAGAGAGUUGAGUGUUGGGGAGACUAUCAUUUGAAGCACAAGAGUAAGGAGUUUAUCAUCAACGCACCAUUUGUUAUUUCUUGGAGAGUGGUGUCUCCUAGAUUGGCUAGGUGUCACUUGGGAGCCUCCGAUAAGAUUAUGGAGUUGAACCAAGGAGUUUGUAAGAACAAGGAGAUCGCCUACUUCGUGAAGAUCUACCGCUAGUGAGGCAAGUGCUUCGUGGGCGACGGCCAUGGUGGGAUAGACAAGGUUGCUUCUUCGUGGAUCCUUCGUGAGUGGAGCCCUCCGUGGACUCGCGCAACCGUUACCCUUUGUGGGUUGAAGUCUCCAUCAAUGUGGAUGUACGAUAGCACCACCUAUCGGAACCACGCCAAAAAUAUCCGUGUCUCGAAUUGCGUUUGAAUCCUCCAAACCCUUCCCUUUACUUUCUUGCAAGUUGCAUGCUUUAAUUUCCGCUGCUCAUAUACUUUUUGCAUGCUUGCUUGAAUUGUGUGGUGAUUGCUUGACUUGUCCAAAGAUAGCUAAAAUCUGCCAAACUCUAAAAUUGGGAAAUGGUUAAGUUUUUAAUUGGUCAAGUAGUCUAAUCACCCCCCUCUAGACAUAUUUCAAGGUCCUACAAAUAACACUAGACGACCUUCAACAUUAUCACUCUCCUGUUACAUUUGGUUUAGAUAAAAAAAAAUCUUUCCAUAAUUGAGCCUCUAUAUGGCGAUAGCUACUUGGUAAUGAAGAGGUAUUAACAUGAUGCGUUGGCCUUUCAGCAUAUCCUAAGCUCAUGACCGUGGAAAACAUCUUGAAGAAAAAAAAUGCUUUUCAUUUUUUGAGGGUAAAAUAAAAAUGCUUUCCAUUUCAAUAUGAUUGUGUUCAAUCCUAUUUUUUCCAAUGUACAUAUACCAUUUCAACAUGGUACCCAUUGUGCUUGGGAUUACAGAAGUGGGUGUGUCAUCUCAUCUCCGAAAUUACACGCUGAAGAUAUUUCAGUGAUUUUGUGUAACUGAUGAAACCCAUAAACCAAAAAUCGAAGCCGUCGACAGUAACUACAUCGAUGUACUUCUCAUCAGGAUUAUACAAAUUUUCCCUCACGGCAGCACUCUUUAUCCUCUUUGCAGGAAUCAUGACCUGUGGAAAGGUACAAAAAAAUUCAUCAGCUUCGAGUUCAAAUGGGCGCCCAAAUAUUUCUUAACCGGUAUUUAAUCCAGUAAACUUUGGCUAUUGACCAGGGGAUUGUGCUUUAGUUACCUUGUAGGGCACCCUUGCGGUGCGGCCCUUGGGCGAUUUUAAAUCCAAAGGCCUGUCACUAUGGAAGGCAAUCUUCCGAGUGGAGAUGAAAAGCAUUCCAGCUAUUGGGCCGGCUGUGGUUGAGAGAUAACACUGGAAAGCCUUCAGUAGCUUCUCUUCUUUCUCGACUCGGAAGUAUUGCCUGAAGACUUUGUCCAUGCUACCAGCUUGGAGAACCUUCACACCCAAGCUCAGUUUCCCUUUCACAGUUUCUGAAAGUUUCGGUCCAAGUGCUACUGCAAUGCAAAAAUAUUUAUUAGUGGUGAGAAUUGUUUCCUGGUUAGUUUAUAUCAAUUUGUUGCGAUACACAUAUAUUACUCCUAGAUGGCAUACUUACAGUGUUCCUUGAAGCCCUGCAUGUAACUAUCUGUUUUCUGACUUAGCUUGCUCAUCCGAUAAACGAUGGAGUUCUUUUUGUCUGCGGCGCCAAGGAAAGGACAGAAAAUCAGCAUUGACAUACAAAUUACAGCAGUUGGGAGAAGAGAAUUGGGCAAGGAGAUCGUGAGAUCAUUACCCUUGUUGCGAACCAAAGAAGAACAUGAUGGUUUUCCUAGUGUUUUCUCGUCAGCAAAUGCAAAGGAAGGCAGGGGAAUUCCAAUGACAUGCUUCUGGCUGAAACCCUCCAUUGGUGCUUCCUGAAGCUGCUUGUGCUAGCUAGCUAGUUAGGCUCUGUUUCCCUGUGAGGAGUUGGCUCCUGCCCCCAAGGCAUCCGUGGGUUUUAUAAGGAGGAGCUUGUGUUAGAAGUUGUUGUUCCAAGGAACAAAGUGGUGGAACCGAAUCAGCACUUUAUGCUGCAUACUCACCGUCGCCUCAUCAUGAUGAAAAAGCAAGGCACACUUUUCUUGGGGUAAAGGAGCGGCGUUCAGCCCGGCGAACAACGAGGAGGGAGGUACCGGUGUGUUCCUUUGGUAAUGCACUUUCUGUUGCAUACAGUUAGUCCAUGAUAAGAGAAGUUGAUGAGUUGGUUGAUGGCAUGCUUACAGUUAGCUUUACAGUUGUAUUGAUAGGAGAACAUGCAGGGUUUACUAGUUAUCAUGAUCCAUGGAGUAGUCUGUGGCGCCUUCCUGAAUGCCGGUUGUUCUUUUCACCUUUCAGCGAAGGAAAUGUUCUAGCUAGUGGGAACUGGAGAGUGAAGAGGAAGGUAAGGCAAGCACGUUGGUUGGUUUGGACCAGGUUACUGGUGAACAGACUUUAUCAACACUAGAAGAACACCCGUGCGUUGCAACGGGGCCACAUUAAAUUUAAGAGUUCAAUAUCAAUUAUGUUAAUAUUACAUUUAAUAUUCUCAUACAUAUCAAGUGACAUUGGCGACCUUUUUACCAUCAAAUUCUCACACACACUCCCUCCCUCUUCCUCACUCUCUCUCCCCCUCUCCCUCUCUCUCUCUCUCUAACACACACACAUAUCCAUUUUAUUGGGUACGGGACCAAUAUCCAUCUAUUUCACACGCACACGCGCUAGUGCAUAACAAUAUGGAUUAUAAAACAGGUUCAAGGUAGUAACAAGGAUUCUUCUCAUGCAUUAAUAAACAAAGGUUCUGCACUGAAGACAAGAUAAACAAUUCCCAAAGUGCAUCAGAGCAUCACAGAACAUUACUGGCAAGAUAAAUGCACGAUGUACCGGAACUGCUCGGAUGAACCGGAACAGAGCCAACAUAUAUCAUCCUAGACAAACGCAACAUCAACCAUUUACCUUGGCACUUUAGGAACCGACAGGAGGAUGCAUGUAGAAGCGCUUAUUGCCUGCGAAUCCACAGUCAGAGAGAGAAAUUGGAACCCAUUCCCAUCACCAACUGAUAAAGAAAGCAUGUAAGAAAAUUGAUAUCGGGCCAACUUGGAUCUUCGGUGAUUGUCCGCCGGUAUGAAGAAUUUAGGAGGGUGGGUGCAGGGAGUGGCCUUGUGGAUGAUGGAUGGAGGCGCGGAGGGAUGUGGUCUCCGGAAGGUCAAAAGCGGAGAGGGUCGGGCACGUUAGGUGGAGCCGGUGGUGCGCGACAACCGAAGGCGGCCCAAUCGUGGGCGGCGAACCGACGAUAGCCUCGGCCCAUCUCUCGACGCAGCGAAGAUAGAGAGGGCGGCACUGCCGGUGCUCGAGGCCGCCGCUCGGCACCAUCUACAUUGAGGGGAAAGAGAGGCGAGAAAGCGAUAGGGUGAUGCGGGGCUAGGGAUUGCGGAGGAGGGUGGGGGUGUGCGAUUUGAAUGGAUGGUUCUGCCCACCGUUUUCUUGUAUGUGGCGGUGGAGACGGCGGCGUCCAGCCAUGCAGGCGAGGCAUGGGUCGAGCCGGGCACACGGCGAGGCGCAGUAGCAGAGGCGGGGGCGAUUUUUUGCUACUGAGAUGCAUGGUGUGGGAUUGAUUGUUCAUGUUCUCUUUUCCUUUUUAACGGGAGAUGGAUGCGAUUUUUUCACGAGGGGAGAGAUGCGACCACGUACAGAUUCCAUAAUAAAUUAAUUAGGUCCAUAACGGGAAUUCUUUACAAUGCGUUAAGAUUUACGUGUUAAUUUUCUUAAUAAAGAAAUGCACUGAUGUAGGGAUCGAUUGAUUCGGGUAAGGAAGGAUAGAUUUGUGAUCUUUUGUAUGUUAGGAAAUUAGUGGUUUGCAAGGAAAGAGUGGAGAGAAAAAGAACCAAUGCGACCACAUAUAGAUUCCAUAAUAAAUUAAUUAGGUCUAUAACGGGAUUUGUUUACAAUGCGUUAAGAUUUACGUGUUAGUUUUUUUAAUAAAGAAAUGCACUGAUGUAGGGCGCGAUUCGUUCGGGUAAGGAAAGAUAGAUUCGUGAUCUUUUGUAUGUUAGGAAAUUAUUGGUUUGCAAGGAAAGAGUGCAGAGAAAAAGAACCAGUGGAGGUGGGAGGAGGACAAAAAUAAACCAUACGAGGCUACCAACUGCUCCAUUAGGGGUAGAGAUUGUUUGUGAAAAUAACGUGCGACGACGACUUAGCGAGCAGAUCCCCUUAAAAAAGACAUAGCGAGCAGAUUCCCUUAAAACUGGUAGGAAUGUAUACGAUUGAUGACGUUGAUAAAUAGUGGUGAAUGUUGGGCUAAUUUACUAUCAUCAUGCAUGGAAACGAAUCAUCAAGAAAAAGAAUACUUCCUAUUACUACACUCAUAGGAAGCUUCCUAAUCUCUGCUACCAAACAGUUUCUGCCCAAAUAAGGAAGGAAAGUUAUGGACGUGAUUCGAAAGGAAACAAACGUUAUGAAGAUUAAUUAAUUUAGAUUUGAUCUUUAGAAGUUGAUUGUGAUUGAUUCUUUUACAUAAAGACAUUACUAAAUAAUUUGCGUCAGUAUGGAAAGUUCUGAUCCGUUCAGUUUUUUUCGUUGUGUGAGAGGGUGAAGUGAAAAUAAACCGAUGAAGUGGAGGAGGCGACGAAAAAAAUCUACGACGGUUAACCUACGAAAGAAAACCGGACGAAAGUGGUGGGACGAAAAAAAAAACCUGGAAGCGAGACUACCAACUGCUCCAUUAGGAGUAGAGAUUGGUUGGUUUGGCAUGGUACAUAUCUCCUUUGCACUUUGCAUUUGCCUCACGUUUUUUUGUUCUUUCUGAUGGAUGUUGUACAGGGAUCUUGACCAAACUAGAAAAAACGCUUUUAUAAGCGAUGCAACUAGGGAAAUGCGGGUGAAUGUUGAUAUAUGUAUAUUAAAAUCCCACGUGAAUAGUGAACAAAUGAAAGAAUAGAAGAUGUUUCGUGCCAUUGGGUCACUACCAGGUAACCCGGUUCAGAAUCGAACUAUACUCGCUAAAGGAUGUUCACGAAUCCUACAAAGAGGUAGUACUCCCUCCGAUUUAUAUUACUUGUCGCUCAAAUGGAUGUCGCUCAAAUGGAUGAGAUUAAUUUGAGCGACAAGUGAUAUGGAUCGGGGAGAGUAGUAAUUAUCUUUCACUUUUCUCUAACCCAUUGUUUAUCCAUGAUUAAGUAUGAGGAGUUGACAAUUUUUGCCAUGCUGGCUACUUUGUAACGGCAAUAAUCACGUGCGCAAGCAUUUUGAGUUUUCUUAGUUAAAUAUGUCGAAGUUCUAUCAUGCAUUACUUUACUAUAAACCUACUGCUUAAAAAUAACAUAUGCGUUUACACAUUAUCAAUCAAAGCAAAAUAAAACAAAAAACAAUUCUUCAGGGCCUUUCGGCCCUUCUGGUAAACAGAAAUCAGGAAAAGGGUCAUACUACAUGAUACAAGAAGUUUGUUGGUUCAGGCUCAAGAUCUUCUUUUAGUCGUGUGCUUUUCACUUGUACCUGGGGCCAUACCCUUGUGCUGGGAACCUUUAGAAUCUCACGCAAACUAAUAAAAUUAAAAACCCUUGUCCUGCCAGAUUCAAGGUCCAAGAACGUGGUGCCCAGGGCCCUGCAUGUGAUGUGGAGGGAGACUAAUCUGAUGUGUAAAGCUGCCUACUUUCCGCUAAUCCGGACUCGAUCCAGGGAAAUCGUAGUUCUUCUGCAUUUGUUUCGCGUUGCUUCGAGUGUUGAUUUGACAUACGUGGCACUUAUGCAGAACCUCGUCAGAAAGCUAGGUGUGAUCAUGCUCAAUCGGUAAAGCCAUUGGUAUGGGCUGUGUAGUGUUCGUGCCAUCAUUAAGUUUAUUUUAGCUUUAUAUAUGUUGAUUAUUGAGAUACUAGUUAUUUUGAUAUCGGAUCUGCGGCCUUUGGUUUGAGGGUUAGUUGAACUCUAGCUUAGUCCCAUCAUGUAUCCACCGAAAGCAGAAAGGCCAACGAAUUUCAUAUUGCAGGAUGCCCUCUCCUACAUUUUCCUCUGCAUCCCCUUCCCGCUCCCGCGCGGCGCCGCCCCGCACCGGAGCUCCCCCGCCCCCUUCAUCCGGUCCUCUCCAACGCCAUCUCUCCUACCGCCGCCGCCGUCGGGGGACUCACAGGCAAUGCCAUUGUGCCGCAGUGGUGGCGGCGGCNNNNNNNNNNNNNNNNNNNNNNNNNNNNNNNNNNNNNNNNNNNNNNNNNNNNNNNNNNNNNNNNNNNNNNNNNNNNNNNNNNNNNNNNNNNNNNNNNNNNNNNNNNNNNNNNNNNNNNNNNNNNNNNNNNNNNNNNNNNNNNNNNNNNNNNNNNNNNNNNNNNNNNNNNNNNNNNNNNNNNNNNNNNNNNNNNNNNNNNNNNNNNNNNNNNNNNAGCAUGCAGAUGGCGACGUACGACGACGGGUCAAGCGGCGGCAGCUUGGGCAUCCGAUCUGACCCCAGAUGGGCUUCGACGGGCCGCACAUGUUGUUGUCGUGUACCAUCCAUGUUCCGUCAAUGGCAUGCUGCCACUGGGCUCGACCUGCAACACGAGGACGUUGGGGGCUUCGGCCCUGGGCGUGGCGGUGGUGGUCACCUCCUUCGUCGGAGGUGGUCGGCUUGAGGCUGGGUGGUCGGAUUUCAAGAUCCGUCAUCUAGUCCCGGCUGCGAAUUGGGGAGACAUAGUUUCUGGUGUAAACCGAGCAGAUAACGGGCGAUGGUGGAGUUUUGCACCGUUACCUUGAUGAAGACAUCUCGUGUAACCGUUGUCGACCCACUCGUGCUGCUUCGGGGGAAACCCUACGGUCUGGUCUUUCAGAUCGGACGAUGGCGGUACUGCGGUGCUGUUUCUCUCUUUGUAGCAUCCUUUGUGGAGCAGCGCUGGAAGACAGAGGCAGGAGGUGGAGCGGCUUCGUCUCGCACGGAGCUUCGGUGGAGCUAUCAAGUCACGCCUGGCCGACAGGUGCUACACCGAGUCAUGAUUGGUUGGCAGGUGCUAUGCACGACAGAUCUUCCAGAGUCUUCAUGUUUGGACGGACGAGCGCAGGGCGGUGGCGCCGUUGGGUGACGUGGUGGCGUCGACGGAUGUCCGGACUAGCAAGGAUGAUGCGGAUCUCUCUCCUGAAGAUGGGUCAAUGGUCCGAUGAUGAUGGCGGCUUCUAAAACGUGUGCAUGUGGCGUGCGUUUUAGGUCUGCUGCAUCGGUUGUUGGUUCCGAUACGUUAUGUGGAUGGAUCAAUGACGACACCAUUUUUAGAUAUGGGAAGUGAGAGCACUCCACAUUAUUUUGUAGGUGUGAGUGGUGACUUCAGGUGGAUUGAUGUAUGUUCUUGUGAGACCUUUGUUGGAUAAUUAAUAAAGAUGGCUGCAUGCAUCGAUUGGUGGAGAGGCUGGGGUUUAACCUCCUUUUCAAAAAAAAAUCCUUGNNNNNNNNNNNNNNNNNNNNNNNNNNNNNNNNNNNNNNNNNNNNNNNNNNNNNNNNNNNNNNNNNNNNNNNNNNNNNNNNNNNNNNNNNNNNNNNNNNNNNNNNNNNNNNNNNNNNNNNNNNNNNNNNNNNNNNNNNNNNNNNNNNNNNNNNNNNNNNNNNNNNNNNNNNNNNNNNNNNNNNNNNNNNNNNNNNNNNNNNNNNNNNNNNNNNNNNNNNNNNNNNNNNNNNNNNNNNNNNNNNNNNNNNNNNNNNNNNNNNNNNNNNNNNNNNNNNNNNNNNNNNNNNNNNNNNNNNNNNNNNNNNNNNNNNNNNNNNNNNNNNNNNNNNNNNNNNNNNNNNNNNNNNNNNNNNNNNNNNNNNNNNNNNNNNNNNNNNNNNNNUAGGACUGAAAAUCAAGAAAUCUAGAUGAUAGCCCGCAUGUUGAUGCCGGAAUAUUUUACAAUAUAUUUCAAUGUGAUUUGAUUGUAUACCAUAAAUAUUUAGAUUAACCAGCGGUGGUUGUUGCUCUAGUGUGUUGAUCCUAUGUGGCCUUAACACGACGACUUUCCUACUGUUUAUUACAACAAGAUUUGUCUGACUCCGAUGAGGCAGGGACGAAGACGGCGGCACGUCUACAGCUUGCUCCAGUGCUUGUAGUCGUCGCUAGGUGGUCUACGAAUCUGGAUGUAUUUUUUUACUUCUGGUGUUCUUUGUACUCCCUUCAUAAACUAUUAGUGAUAUAUAUGCUCUUAUAUUAGUUUACGGAGGGAGUACUAUCUUGGCAGUUGAUGAAUAACUCAAAAGUUUUUUCCUCGCAAAAAAUAAUAAUAUGAGAACAAAAGUUGAGAUAUAUAUGAUUUAUCGAAUGUUCGUAAAAUAUUUAUUGUAGGUUGAGGUGGGACUUUUCUAUGCACUGCAGGUUGAGGUGGCAUGCUUGCGUCUCGAGGGAAAUAUGUUAGUAAUGAUCACCUAUUUAGUUAUGUAUGAAUUUUGUUCGGACUAUUUUGCAUCCAUUUUGAGAAGAAAACUUAAGCACGGCCUCAUAUGAUUUUUUAUUUGAUUAUUUGACAACUAGGCAAGUGCCUACAAAUUCCUGUAUUUUUCUUGUGGUACAAUCAAAUAAUUUCCAUUGCAUAUUUUUUGUGUUUUUUAUUCCUGUAGGAUUCAUUUUUAGGGGAUAUAUAGGAUUCAAUAAGUCGUGCCAUAUAUAACUCUUAUGUUUCUCUAUUAUUUGUGUUGCAGUUCAAUGAAUCGAAGAUGCCUUUAGAAGACAAUAACACUCCAUAUUUUCAGGUAAAAGGCAUAAGCAUCCGACUUUAUAUUAACAAAGCCAACAAAGGCCACAAAGUGAUACCUUCUUUUUUUUAGAACACAAAGAGAUAAAUAGUUCUGCAGACUGAUAACAAGUUUAGGCAAGGUGGCGAACCGGGCCAGCCUUGACGCGUCCGGUUCAUGUCCUCGGCUGCUAGGCUCAUUCUGACGAAUACUAGCCUCUCCUCGCUUCCCAUGUUUACCAUGGGCAUGUUCCUCCUAGCAGACGACGUCCAUGCCAAUCUUGACACCUCUGAUCCAAGUUCUUUUGGGAAGGAACUGCAUCCAAAAAGAGGUACCACUUAAUAAAGUGGGCGGCGAUAUGUAGGCCUAAGAAAUAUGGUGGCCUUGAGAUUAUAAACUCCAAACUUAUGAACGUAGCCCUUCUCUCAAAGUGGCUUUGGAAACUCGCCCAAAAUGAGCAUGGGCUCUGGGCGGAUAUCCUUCGAACAAAAUACUUCCCCGACGGGAAUUUCCUUACCUCCAAGGCCAAGGGGUCGACAUUCUGGAAUGGGAUCCCGGCUGUCAAACCGGCCUUCGCGCUUGGAGCUAAGCUUUGCGUUAACGACGGCAGAUCCACGCGAUUCUGGUUAGACCACUGGUUCGGUUAGGAGCCGUUGUGGCGCAGCCACCUUUUCUUAUACCAACUUGCUACCAAUAUAAAUAUCCUCGUUGCUGAUGCGCUUAGAACCAACCCGCCAGCCAUUUCUUUCAAAAGGCCUCUUUCUGACACCGAACGUGCUGGUUGGGACGAGUUACGCGACGAGCUUGCGGUAGUGUCGUUGCGCCUUGAGGCCGACACGUGUCUCUUGGUCCCUCACGAGCUCCUGGAAAUUCUCGGUUAAGUCCCUAUACAAUAAACUGAGGGAGGGCCCGACAUUGGCAUUGGACAUAGCUAGGGGGCUAUGGAAAGUGACUACCCCCCUCAAAAUUAAAGUGUUCCUUUGGCAAAUGUUUCGCGACCGACUCCCGUCCUCUAACACCAUACAAAACAGAACGAGCUGUCUGAUGGCAAUUGUGUGAUGUGUGGUGCGCAUGAGGAUGCAAACCAUAUCUUCUUCAAUUGCCAUCUCGCUCACUUUGCUUGGAGUGCGGUCCAGGAGGCCUUCAAUCAAAAUUGGAACCCCCACUCGAGUAGUGACCUCCGUGGUAUACUUCUGGCCCAUAGGGGUGGGUUCGGUAGAGUGCUUUGGAGAUGCGUAGGGGCGCUGUUAUGGGCUCUAUGGACAACUAAAAACAAAAUCACCAUAGAACAUAAAUUUUCCUCUCACCCGGCUGACAUUGUUUUCAAAUGCCAUUUGUUCCCCCAGACUUGGAUGCCGUUGGGGAAACGGCGGGACGCUGAGCGGAUGCAGGAGGCGAUGGAGUGGAUUCGACUGAUCCAGAUUGCGGCACGCCAAUAGAAGUCAAUGACCAUUCCUCUCUUUGCCGGUGUUGGCAUGUUUAGACUUUUGCCUUAUCUCUCUCAGGCCUAGGCCGGUUGCAUGCUAAACUUUGGCGACGACCUCUUUCAUUUCCUUCCAUUUAAGACUGCAUUGUCUGUUGAAUGCUGCCUGUCCGAGGGCUUUAUUAAGUUAAAGCCAGACGCUCUUGCGUCUUCGUUUUAAAAAAAAGAAGAAGUUUAGGCAAACAAAGGCCAACCGAUAUAAAAAAGACAGAGUCCAAAGUAACUGAUAACGCUAGCUAGGGGAGGGCGUUUGGUGGCCGCGCUACAGGUAGGCCGGUAUCUGGGCCAUUGGGAUGGGCUUUGGGAUCUGAAAUGCGUCAGGAUUUGGGGCAGGCUAGUGUCAGGCUAGUCAUCCAUAUACGGUCUGCGAUACAUCUAGGCGUACAUGUUUGGCCCAGCCAGCUUUCACGUUCCUCUGCUUAUCCUCGUUCGAAUCAGCACAUCAAAGAGAAUCUCGUGCUGCCAUAUCCUGUGGAAGAAGCCCCAUCCACGGAACAACUUUGCCUCUCCGCCCCUCCCUCUCUCCGGCAGAAAUCACAUAUUUGACCUGAGGCAGAAAUCAAUUCACAAACUGACCUGCUUUCAAAAAAAAUUCACUCUGCUGACCCUUUCGUGUGGCGCCCGACAGUUGGGCGUCGCACCCUACUAUGCAGCGCCCAUCACUUAGGCGCCACACUUCCUGCCAGCGUGGCAGCCCUGGUCCAGCUGCGGCCCCACACGCACCUGUGCAGCGCCUAAGUCUUAGGCGCCACACAUGUAAUAUGCAGCGCCUAACUCGUGGGCGCUGCACAGUCUGUGUUCCACUUGGGCUGGCCCCACCCUCUCUCCCCUCCCACCCCCACCCCACACACCUCCACCCCACCCAAACCCUAAGGCUUGCGGCCCUCCUCUCUUCCCCUCUCACCCCCUCUCAAAUCCUUCUCAAAUCUUGCAAAUCCGGAGUAUUUGACCAUGGAUUUCGAAGCCAACCCCUCCCUUAAGGUAAUAUCCUCCCAUCCCCUCGUUUUCAUCCAUAGGAAUUGUCACAUUUGCUCAAAUCUUGCUAGUUUGGGGGAAACCCUAGUUUUGACUUGGAUUUGCAAAUUUGUGUUGAAUGAUGUUAUGUUUCUUUGCUAACUUGGGUUGGUUAAGCUUCCAUAGUAUGCUAGGGUUAGGAUUAUGUGUGUUUGAUGUUGGUGUUAGGGUUAUGCUAUGGUUAUGGUUGUUUUAUAUGCUAGGGCAUAUGUGUGCAAAUAUUUUUCUGAAGUAUUUACUUGAUAUAUGUGUGUUUUUGAUUAUUGUAGGGAUGAGGAGAACAUGUGUUUAUGUUCAUCAUGUGGAUAGAGAGGCCUUUUUGAAAGGCAAUGUUGAGACGGACCCGAAUGAGCUUGAUAUGGUGUUUGAGAGUAGUCCUAGCUAUGCGGAGCUUUUGGAACAAGUGAGGAAAGAUUUGAAUUGGACGGACCCAAGUGACGUUGUUGAGUUCGAGGGAAGGCAUAAUGUUGGUUUUGGAAUGCACAUCCGUUGGAAGACAAUGCGUGUGAACUCCGAGCAACGUUGGGUUGCAUACAAGGCAAAUUUGCAAAAUAUUUAGAUUACUCAUUAUUACCUUAUCCUUCUCGCGCAUCAUGUAGGCCCGGUGUUGCACGUCGUAGACAUCGUCCAGAAGCCAAACCAUCCUUACAAUUUCAAACAAUAAACAUAUAAAAGUUCAUCUUCAUCUCAAAUAUCGGUAUACACUAAACAUAUAACAUGUGUUCAACUACAAGAAUCUCAACAUCUCCUUCUCACACAAUGAAUAUGUCAUAUGUGUUCAAAUAAACUAAACAUCUAAUAUUUCAAAUAAACUCAACAUCUAAUAUUUGAAAUAAACUGAACAUCUAAUAUAUAUAUCUAAACAAACUUCUCAUAUAUGUCUACAAAAAUCAACAUCUCAUAGUUAUCUAUAAAAAUAGGCAUCUCAUAUAUAUCUAAAAAAACUAAACAAUCUAGGGUUUCAACAACAAGAAUCAUAUAUUGUGAACUAAUAAAUAACACUACGGUACUACCAAUAUGAAUACACAUCCUAAAUCGAGCAAACCAAACAAAUCAAGGGUUCCAUCAAAUCAUGGACAAAUCUCUAGAAUGGCAACAAAUUUACGGAGCAAAAGAAAAAGAAGGGAAGAGUUUACCUAGUAGGAUGGAUUGGGGAUCGAAUCCACGGAUCAAAUCUUCAGAUCUGAGAGGGAUGUGGGGGGAUUAGAUGGGGGCGCCGCCGCCGCCGCUGCUCUCUGUCCAGAGAGCGGAGAGAUGAAGAACUGCCUGGUCGGGCCGCGCUUAAGUCACUGUGCAGCGCCCAAGAGCUAGGCGCUGCACAUUACAGGUGUGUGGCGCCUAGCCCUUAGGCGCUGCACGGGUGCGUGUGGGGCCGCAACUGGACCAGGGCUGCCACGCUGGCAGGAUGUGCGACGCCUAAGGAAAAGGCGCUGCACAGUAGGGUGCGGCGCCCAGCUGUCGGGCGCCACACCAAAGGAUCAGCAGAGUGAUUUUUUUUUAAAAGUAGGUCAGUUUGUGAAUUAAUUUCUGCCUCAGGUCAAAUAUGUGAUUUCUGCCCCUCUCUCCCCUAGGCAGGCGGCGGCGCCCGUGUUCCUCUGCUCAGCUUCGGUACAUCCAACGCGAUUUGCCCUUUCUCUUUCCCGUCCCCCCAAACUCGGCGGCGGCACAUCUCCUCUCCGGCGCCAUAUCUGCCGGUGGCAUCGAGCGCUACCGGUACGUUUCCUGUGCGGGCGUGUGUAGAUCCGCAACUAGUUUGUCAAGUUCCAUUCCCUUUUUCUCACAAAUCCUCUUUCUCCAGGCGGGGCGGCAGGUUAAUUCGAUGCAACCCAUGGCUGUGGUGCCUCGGGUGGAGUCGCAAGCUUCGAUGAGAGUCGCAGAUGGCCAGAUUUGUCGCGUUGCCGAUCUAGCAGUGCCCAACUCCGGUGAUUUCCAGUUGGACUGAAACGGGGGAUUUAAGGUGUGCUCUGAAGCUACGAGCAGAUGGACAAGAAGGUAUGUAGUGCUAAACUUGAAUUUGAUUUGUUCUACGGGCCAAGAAAAAUUGUGUGUAGUUUGUCCUGCAAGUAGUGAUUCUCAUGUCAGUUAUGUGAAUGCAUGUUUGACUGUUUCGAUUCAUGUAUGUGCUGCCAUGACUGAAUUCAUAUGUUCUUUUUUUUGUCCUUUUCAGCUAUUAAUGAGCUUGACUAAAUGGAUUUGCAAUUGUUGUUUGUUUUGGUCAGUAGUGCGUUAUUGUUUGUUCCUAGUUCCGGGAAUUCCGCUAAAUAAGUAACUCUGCUGACAUUUUGUGAAGAACACCGCAUGAAGUGUGUUCAUGCCUUUCGUGCGACUGAACCAUAAGCAAAGUUUACCCAAUUUUCUCGUAAUUAAUAUGUUCAUUUCGGUAGAUAGCUAAGCUGUCUGGAGAAAUAAAUAAUCCCCUUUGCCAAGUUCUUAUAAAUUAAAUUAGCUGUAAAUGGUAAAAUUUUCAGCAAGUGCGCCUGCAUUGGCCAGGUUUUGGACAAUUAGCUGAUUACCUUUUGAUUGCCAUGUUAUAUCUCAUGCUACAACAAAUGUGUUUUAGUUUUUGCUUCUGUUGUACUACUAUGGCAUAUGACCCAGUCAGACACAAUAUAAUUUAUGUUAAUGUGUUUUCCUUCAAUAUCUGUACCUAACUGAACAAACACUGCAUAAAUUGUCACCCACAAGCUGCAGUCCGAAUUGGAAAGAAAGAUGUCUUCUGGGUAGUUGGUUUCUGAACUUAUUUUUCAACCAAAAUGCUGCAGUACCAAUUAGAAUUCUAUGCUUAGGUUAUUAAGAUAUUUAGUGUGGCACCUUUCACUGAUUUGGCAGCUUGUACUUUUUGGAUCAUAUAAAUUCAAUUCGGUUCAAUUUUUUUUCCAGCAGCCGUGCGUGCUAGCUUGCUGUUUGAUUAACCAGUUACUUAGUAGAGGUCAACUGGGCUAUAGAAUUCUGCACUCCAUAGUAUAGGAUAAUUGUCAUGGAUGCAUCUAUUCUGAAGUUAGUGAUCAGUAAUUAAGAUAGCAUCUCCAUAUUUUGCAGGCCCGGUUUUGUCGCUUUAUUUUUCAAUUAGUUCACUAGGACACACAUGCGUUCCACAAAGAUACUACAAUGUAACCUCUCCAUAUUUUCCAACCAGUCCCUUUGUGAUAUGCUAAUUUUCCCCCUGUUUUUAUGUUCUACCAUUAGUCUGCUAAGUAGGAGACAUGUUGACCGGUAAUGUUCAGGAAUUAUGAAACUGUUCAGGUAUAGCGCCUGCGAAGGACUGACGUACUGCAGGUCGACAUACUUCAAGAGAAUAAGCAAAAGUCUAGGUUCUGCACCAUACGUCAAGGUCAGGGACACAAGAUUAUCACAUGCAUGUGCUGAACAAGGCUCCGAGGAAAUUGCCAAAGUGUUCGAAGUGUGUAGUGCUUGGUCACAGGAAGAAUGUGUGACUUACCGAUCAAUUUGAGCCGAACUUCCUUUAGCCCCGCUUUAUCAAAUGUAGCAAGAGUGUUUUGAAAUUCAGUUUCUCUACAUUUCAGUUCAUAAUUUUGUUCAUGUUCACCGGGUCAUUGGUGUGAUGACCGUUUGGGACUUAAUGAGAUAUUUUAUUCGAAUUGUCGGGACAUUUAGUUGAUACACUGCAUGGUUUGUUGCUGAUGUUUGUCAACGACGAGCGUGAAACAGGCCCGUUGCAUCAUAUGGACCGUGAAUUACAAAAUGCCAUGUGUUAUUUUUCCCGACAUGUUCAAUUUGAGUGGCAUGAUCAGUUCUUCCAGUUGCCGGGUGGGGGAGGUUCAUGCUGCGGUGUAGGUGUUGGCUGAAAUUCUAGUGUAAUCCUUCUAUACUGUUGUUGUGAACUGUCAAUGUUGGCGUGUGUGGAGAUAAAGCAAGCUGCAAGAUUGAUAACACACCGUCAGUGUGUUUGCUUUAUCUCCACUGCGUAGUUUGGUCUGUUGUGCUGUUUCAGGCGUGUGCUGUGAUGCAUAGGUUAGUGAUGAGGUCUAGUGAAAUGACAGUGUAUGCCCUGGAGCUAGUAUGAUGCAAGAUCCUCUGUGACGUGCAGGUGUUCCUGAACAAUGGAACAUGCACUCAGGGCAACAUGCACUCAGAGCGGCAUGGGCUCUGGGUUGGCAUGUGCGUGCUCAGGGAGUUUGCUGCAUUGCAAAUGUAUCCCCGCAGCAUGGAUUAGCCAUUGUUUAGUGUGGUUUCUGUCCAGCUCAAAAAAAUGUUUAGUACUGAAUUUGUGUGCCAUAAGCUUUCUUCGGCGAAAAAUGAGUUUAUGCGAGGGUGUUUUAACUAACUGAAUGUCAGACCAAGCUUGGUUCGCAAAAAACUGCAGUUAAAAAUUAUUGUUCUAUGGCUUUCAGCUGAAACCAGCCCAGAAACAAGCUGCCUGAACAUCAAACAUCACAAUUAGCAAGCCGAAAAACAUGCUUAGCCAAACGUACUGAAGAAAACCCGCGGCUGUCUCACUGGACACCAAUGCUCCACGAACGCACUUUGGGCUGCGGGUGCUCUCCUCUGGCCAGCGAUCAACCACGACUUGCAACUGUGCUCAACAGCGAGUUGUACAAGUCUGCACGCGCAUGGAGCAUGUCAGAUGAGUGUAAGAGGCCUAGGUCCUUUGGCAUGUGCGUGGGCCAGAGCCGUUUCAAUACAGGCAGAAAAAAAUAUCAAAUACAUGCCGUAUACACAGGGAGCGGGAAUCCCAAUGGUGGUCAGACGGGCAGGAUUCCGGCCUGCCUGUAGGCCGAGCACCAUUGGCAUUUUUCGUAGCUAGGGGCACUAUUAGGCUUCAUCAUGAGCACUUCUAUUGAUGGCGUGGAGGUGUUUGAUAGUGCGGAGAAUCUCAAUGGCUGCUUCAUUGUCUUGCGUCUUUCCUAGAGGACUUCAUUGCUGAAUAAAUAAAAAUACCAUUUGAUGAUGUAGUUAGCGGGAUAAUUAGGUAAAAUAUGUUCAAUCGCUAAUUUGUUGCGAGUGUCCAGAGGGUCCAAACCAACGCCGCGAAUGAGCGCCAAGCCAAUCUACGUUGUUGUCCCCGAGCGUCAUGGAGAAGCAUAAGUAUACUGACCAUAGAAUUAGGGGCCCAGUUAACGCCAAAACUGUAGCAGACACAACUUGAAAGGAACUUGGUCGGGGCACAACGAAAUAGAAUAUUUCCUUUUUUAAAAAGGGGAGUAUCCUGGUCUUUGCAUCACACAAUGCACACAACCAUAUUAUUAAACGUGAAAUAAGUUCAUGUCAACGAGUACUCGACAAUAAAACAAAUAAACGGAAAACAUGACCACAAGUGGUUGAACCCAUGAUUACAUAGAUGUGCGAAUGGCUCGUUGUCGGUCCUGUGAAGACCAGGCCCUCACGGGCCCGUCAAGCGUGGGCCACGACAACCUUUUUGGUGGGGAAUGAUGGCUACUACCCCACAACACACACCCAUGCACCUUCUAAGGUGGCAUGCAUAUCUUCGUCAAGAUCCAAGAUAGAUAGAACGUCUCUCAAUGAAAGAAGUCGCCACCUCUUUGCUGGCAAGCAACUUUAGGAUGUAAGCACCCUUGCUCGCUGCAACAUCCAGAAGGAGUCCAUACUCCACUUUGCCUCCCAACAACGUGGUGGUAUGCAGAUCUAUGUGAAGACUCACCGACAAGACCAUCAUACUUGAAGAGGAGUCCCGUGACACCGUCGACGAUGCUAAGUCCAAGACUGUAGUAGAAGAGAGUUGCUCUCCCGUCAAGGUCCCCACCAACAUCUGGUUCCGUGAACAGUUGUCCCCAGAAAUGACGUCAACGGCUGGUGGGCCACCUGUUCUAGGCACAACCUAUGACAGUGGGGCUAAUCCAUAGGCCUAUGGCGACCUACAAAUGCUCGGGGCUAAUCCACCCUUCCUCAGACGUCAUUUACUCUGCUCGACUGCUACUCUCCUAGCUCGAGCUCUCAGACCUAGCGCCACCGCUACACUCCAUUGUCGCCGGUGAGGAAGAGCUUCACUUCCUCGACCUCAUCGCCGUCGUAUUCGCGCUGGUCGCGGAAAUCUUCACUGCGCCGCCGCCGUAGCUGUCUCCCGCCGCCGAGUUAGGGCGUGGGAGAUCUGAACGGACGAACUUCUCCAACUCCACUCCUAGUUCAUCGUGUUAUUCGUCCAAGGUAAUUAAAAUCUGAUUUUACUGCCCUAUUUUGAUUCUCAUGAUUUCCACAAAAUCUUCAAAAGGUGUUUAUUCUUCAACUUCCCGUUCCUUAAACACCCAGUUGCAUUAGUACCUUGAUUUAUUUCUCUAAGCUGUGUUUUUCUUCAAGAUUCCUCAAUUGUGUGGAUUUUCAAAUCUAUACAACUCUGGAACCUAAGUCAAGAAUGCUUAGUGAAAUUCCUCAAGACACCCAUGGUCAAAUUCCUCAAACUUGAUACUUUUGAAAAAAUUCUGAGAACACAUAUGACCUCUCCAAAUUCUUUGCACCUAUACUCUGUUCACAGGUAUAAAAUGUCCGCUGCUGAAUCACUAGGUUCUCAUCAACUUAACUCAUUCGCAGCGUUCCUCGAAGAUAAGUUGCACACUUCCUCAGAAACAUCCAUUGUUCAAAAUCCUCAAGUGAAGAAAAUGGCUGAUGGGAAAAGACCUUAGAAGGGAGGAAAGAGACCAGAGUCCAACACUGCUUUCAAGAUCUCUGAGGAUAUAUAUGCUAGGUACUGUACUCCUGAUGAAGCAGCUCAUGGCAAAGAAAACAAGAAUCAGCGCAAAGUGCGCAUACAGAGGAUUGAGAGGAGGUGGGCAAAGGAAUGGAGGGAAUAUCGGUAUGUCACUCCCAAGUACAUGAAAAAAUUUGUUGUACACCCUCCAUGUCCAAGACCUCUAUUGGCUCCUGGCCAAAAGGCUAAUCCCUCAAGCAUCAGGCGCAGUGAGUAAUUUCCCAAAGAAUGGGCCAAGCGUCAAGCCAAAUUGGCUAAAGUUGCAAAAUAAGGAGGGAAGAAAUUCAAUGAAGAUUCUGCUGCUGCUACUGCUGAGGCCUCUGCAAGUAAGCCUAAGAAAGCUAUGCCAAAGAAAUCAGCUGCGAAGCCGAGUACCUCAACAGCAGUUCCCUCGCGGCGAAGUACUUCAACGUCAAAGCCCUCAAGGAAAAUUCCUCAGGCAACUUCUUCAAGGGCAGUGCCAAUUCCCUCUGUUGCCACAAAUCCUCAACUACUGCUGCAAAGUCCUCAACAUGUGUGUUUCUUGCAAUGUGUCAACGGACUGAAGGCUUUUCUAUUGCUUUAGGAGCAUCUGCAAGUUCCUCAGCCCCAGCACUGUCCUCAACUGGUCCAACUCUAUUGAAGAAAAAGGUCACUGCUGGACGUGGCUUGAGGCCAAGUCCUCAUAAGAAACAAGUCCGCACAUCGAUCCCCUAAUCUGGUGUUGCCACCCGACUAGUGGCUCGGGGGCUACUACAUUGCCUAUUCAAUGCAGAAAAUUCAAAAUGCUCAGUGUUCGGUUUAACCGAGCUAUGGGCAAACACGUCUUUGGACAAUAAUAGGUACCAUCUGGUGUUAGCCCCCCGCAGCCCCCUUGUAACUAGCCUCCCAACUUUAAGCUCCUAUGACUAAGUGAAAGUUAUAAAGCCCGCAUAUCUGAUUGCCUCGUUUCCGCUAACACAACCGCCUUCGAGCACCGAGACGUCGGCAGGUUGUUUUGUUAUUGCAGAAACACCCUGGGUAGCAUCUACAAGGGGGUGGAAGCCGACGAUGAGCCACUUUCAACUGAUAAACGGUCGCAACAGAGUCAAAAAGAACACACAUCAUCGGCAUUUGUAUUCAGUAUACAAGCGCUUCCUUCCAUAAUCAUCGUUAUAAAGCCAUAAAUAUGCAUCAAUUUGACUUAAGAUUUUGGCCAAGCUAGGUUGCCUGGCUCCUGUGCUUACCCCUACAUUCCCAAUUGUUCGGCUAGGCGGUAAAGGGAGCACCUCCAUGAUUGUUACUACCGGGUCAUCCGAGUUAGUACCUCAGACUGGUUGAAGCCGAAAGCUAGCCAUCUUAACGGAUAUAAUUGGUCGGCAACGGCGGAAGUGAAAAUUUUGGUUCAGUAGACCAUAGAGUUCGGGAACUUUCGCCGAACUAAAUCCUCAAUAUUUUCUCCCACAUUAACCGGGGGUGAGGUUUUAUGAUCAUGGUCAAACAUGACAACCCAAAGAAAGGAACCGAUAGCAAGACUAUUUUCUUUGAAAGAUGUUUCUUACGUUAAAUAGUAAUAUAACAUAUCUUUCCAUGUACCUUUGUUUAUAAAACCAUAUGGACGGAUUGCCUUGUUUGCCGUAAAUCUUUGCCCUUAUAAUAACUUUAUAAAGUAGGACAAACACUCACCGGCUACUAGCUGAGGAGGUUAAAGCUGUCGGUCGGUCAACAAAGUUUUGUACAAUGCGGAUCUGAGCAUUAAUGAUGUAGAGUAUUUGGAUACAUAGAAUCAUUACACAUAACUUGUGAUUUUACUCUGGAUAUCGAUCCUUAAUUUGGCCACCCGUGCCCACAUUAAGGCUUGGGGCUACUGGGCUUUGGGCUUAUCAUUUACUAAUAUUAAAGGGGAACAUCGAUCCCCUAAUCUGGUGUUGCCACCCGACUAGUGGCUCGGGGGCUACUGCAUUGCCUAUUCAAUGCAGAAAAUUCAAAAUGCUCAGUGUUCAGUUUAACCGAGCUAUGGGCAAACGCGUCUUUGGACAAUAAUAGGUACCAUCAGGACCUAUCCGGCAUCAAGAUAAUAUAUUACAACAACUUCUCAAGACCCUCUCUCAAUGGCCCGUUCAUCGAUCACUAUUUCCUCUAAUAUAUUACACCGCAUUUGUAUUCCUAAGUAUGUUGCCGAGCUGGGAAUUGAUCCUCAGACCGAUUUCACGAAUCAACCUGAGUCUCAGGGGCUACUGGGGUCAACCGUUUGAUUUUACCCUUCAUGUGCAUCCUGGAUAUUAGGCCAACACGCACCUUGAGGGCUACUGGCUAUACAUCUCGGCAGAAAAUACAUUGCACAAAUCGGAAUUAAAUUCAUAAAAAUCAGCCGAUGGCCGAGGUGGUGCACCACCUCGGAUACACCGGUUGGAGCUCGGAUACAGUUCGGCGUUGGUGCUUGGCUGCAAAAGAUACCUCAGAAGCAGUCCGGCAUAAAGCUCGGUUGCAAGUGGCUGGUUCCAUAGAGGGCAUAUCUGACAUUAAGCUUGGUUGAACCCUUUUAACUUUUUCAAGACCGAGGUAAUCUAUGACACUUCGGAUACAGUCCGGCACUGGAACUUGGAUAUAGUCCGGCGCUGGAACUUGGAUGUAGUCCGGCAUUAGAGCUUGGAUGCGAGAGGACAUAGCCGCUCAGGAAACACUUCAAACCCAAGGUGUGGCAUAAAAUAACAAGGCGUUGAUAAAGGGGCCGAAGACUUAAAGGGAUCCUCGGAUGCCCGACGUGUGCACUCUUCGAAUUUAGCUUGGCACCCCUCAAGAUUGAAGAUGGGAAGAUUUGCUGAACCAGUUUUUAAGGCCGACGACCGAAGAUAAGGAACAGUCCGGAAGAACCGCGGAGCGUCCCCAACUUGAAGACCGGUUCAGGGGGCUACUGACGGUGUCUUGGACUAGGGGGUACUCAUCACGUUGUCUCCCGACCAGGUGGAUCGGGCCGAGGACCCCCAUGGCGGUUCACUAUUGGGCCAUUUCAGGUAGCCCAUGCCGCAUAUAAGGGAUAUUCCACAACACUUGGCGCCCAAGACGAGGACUCUUCUAAACCCUAGGCUUCUGGUAUGUUAUAUAAGCCGAGGCCAGGCUAGUCAAUAGACAAUCUAAUAUUCAUUAGAAAAAUCUCGUGGUAGAUACAUGUACUCUGUACUACACCCAUAUGAAUACAAUCAAAAGCAGGAUGUAGGGUAUUAUCUCUUCGAGAGAGCCCGAACCUGGGUAAAACCUUGUGUCCAUGUUACCAUCGCUCCAAGAUGCCUAGCUUAGGACCCCUACUACGAGAUAUCUGGGAUUUCACACCAACACCAGCCUCCCUACGGAUCAAGAAGAGGCGUUGAUCAGCUUCUUGCGCACGAACAAGGAUGUGUUUGCAUGGGAGCCCAAGGACCUGGUCGAAAUCCUGAGGGGAAUAAUCGAGCAUCACCUGAGGGUAUGCCCUAACACGCGCCUGGUGAAGCAGAAGGUGCGGUGGCAGUCCACAGAGGAGCAGUCGUUCUUUGUCCAAGAGACCCACAAGCUGCAAGAGGCUGGUGUCAUUCGGGAGGUGCGGUACCCGGAGUGCCUGUCAAACCCGGUCGUUGUCCCCAAGAAAGGUGGGAAGGAGUGCAUGUGUGUCGAAUUCACCAACCACAACAAGGCUUUCCCUCAGGACCCCUUCCCGCUCCCGCACAUCGAUCAGAUCGUCGAUUCCACCGCCUAAUGCGACUUGCUGUGUUUUCUGGACGCGUUCUCGGGCUAUCACCAAAUCAAGAUGGCGGUGCAGGAUGUUGAGAAGACAGCCUUCCUGAUCCCAUGCGGGUGUAUUUCUACACCUACAUGCCGUUUGGGCUGCGUAAUGCUGGGGCAACCUUCCAACAGCUGAUGCACAUCACUCUGGGCCAGCAGGUCGGGAGGAACACCGAGGCCUACGUCGACGACAUAGUGGUGAAGUCUCGGGAGGCAAGGACCCUUAUUGAAGACCUGGGAGAAAUGUUUGCCAGCUUGCGCAAAGUGAAUCUAUGAUUCAACCUAGAGAAAUGUGUGUUUGCAGUCCCCUCCGGCAAGCUACUGGGCUUUCUGGUGUCGCACAGGGGGAUCGAGGCCAACCCAGAGAAGGUCAAGGCCAUAGAAAGGAUGAGCCCACCACAAACCCUCAAGGAGAUGCAGAAGCUGGCGGGCUGUGUCACCUUGCUAGGGUGCUUCAUCUCCAAGCUGGGAGAGCACACCCUCCUAUUCUUCAAGCUGAUGAAAAAGAAACAACCAUUCGAGUGGACUUCGGAGGCUGACACAGCAUUCCAAGACCUCAAGAGGUACCUCACUAGCCCGCCGGUGAUGGUAGCAUCGCGUCACCGUGAGCCCUUGGUGCUCUACCUGGCUGCCACACCUCACUCUGCCAGCGCAGCACUGGUAGUGGUCCGGGAGGAGCACCUGACCAAGGGCUCACAAAGCAACACUUCGCACCCGAUCAAGACGCGUCAGCCUUAGGACGGUGCUCCCGAGGCCCCGGCUGCCCCAACAGACGACCAGGUUCCUCAAGACGGUGCUCUUGAGGCCUUAGCUGCCCCAACGAAUGGCCAAGCUCCUAAGGCCCCCGGCCCCAGGAGAUACAAGACCCCGCCGACACUUCCACCCUCGUCAGGCACCCGGUGUACUUCAUCAGCACGGUGCUACGUGAUGCGCGGGCGCGCUAUCCCAUACAGCAAAAGCUCUAGCUUGCGUUCCUUGUCGCCUUCCGCAAGCUGCGCCACUACUUCCAGGGUCACCCCAUCAAGGUUGUCUUAGCUUACCCACUGGAGAGGGUGCUCCGGAGCCCCAAUGCCACGGGAAGGGUUGCAGAGUGAAACAUCAAGCUGGAAGCGUUCCAACUAGAGUUCAGCACCACCAGAGUCAUCAAGGGCACGGAUCUCACAGAUUUCAUGGCAGAAUGGACUGACGACCCCAGCCAUAAAGUGUGCAAGGACCACUCUCUCCUUCCCAGAGAUGAGGCAUUAGAUGGAUGGGUCAUGUACUUCGACGGUGCGUUCGCGCGCCAGGGCGCGGGGGCUUGAGCAGUGCUCAUUUCGCCCUCCAAGGACAAGCUCUACUACGUCGUGCAACUCUGUUUCCAGCACUGCGAGAAGGUCUCCAACAACAUCAUGGAAUACGAGGGCUUGAUCGACGUACUCAAAGCCGCCGCGGCUCUGGGGGUCAAGCGCCUCACGAUCAGGGGUGACUCGCAUCUCCUCGUCAACUUCUCCAACAAAGAGUACAAGCCGAAGGACGAGCACAUGGAAGCAUACCUUGAGGAGGUACGCAAAAUCGAGAAACAAUUCUUGGGCCUGGAAUUGCAGUAUGUGCCGCCCGAUACGAACAAGGAAGCAAAUGACAUUGCUAAGAGGGUGUCUCGCCGCCUGCCUCGGGAGCCUGGUGUCUUUGAGGAGUGGCUCUUCAAGCCGUUGGCAGCCCCACCCACCGAGGGACCAGCAUCGCCUCAGGAGGAGCUACCCCCAGCACCCCUCUCGGGCGCCCCUGCUUGCGGGCCAAGCUCGGGAGCCCGUCUACUCCUCGCACUCGAGCCUCGGGAGGGGUGCUGGACCGAGGAGUUCAAGGCGUACUUGCUUCAGGGGACCUUGCCGAAGAAGGAGGAAGACGCGGAGCGCGUGGCUCGCCAGGCCACCGCGUACUGCAUUCAGGACGGUGAGCUUUAUCGCAAGUGGCCAAAUGACGUCUCUCUGCGGUGCAUCUCCAGGGAGCAGGGACACGAGCUGCUUGCUGAUAUACAUGGCGGGGAUUGCGGGCAUCACUCUUCAUCGCGCACCCUCGUGGGCAAGGCGUUCUGCAGUGGGUUCUACUAGCCCACGACGCUCAAUGAUGCCACCGAGUUGGUGAGAUCCUAUGAAGCCUGCUAAUUCCAUGCCAGGCAUAUCCACCAACCCGCUCAGGGUCUCCAGACCAUCUCGCUGUCAUGUCCGUUUGUGAUCCGGGGGCUGGACAUCUUGGGCAUGUUCCUUCGAGCGUCCGAGGGAUGCCGCUACCUCUACGUCGCCAUCGACAAGUUCACCAAGUGGGCGGAGGUGGAGGCCGUCCGCACCAUCCCAGCCGGUUCGACAAUCAAGUUCAUCAAGGGCCUCGUGAGCCGGUUUGGGGUUCUCAAUUGCAUCAUCACCGACAACGGCUCGCAGUUCACUAGCAACCUUUUCAAAACAUAUUAUGCUAAUCUUGGAACGCAGAUAUGCUACGCCUCGGUGGCACACCCCAGGAGCAAUGGCUAGGCCGAGCGCGCCAAAGCGGAGGUCCUGAGAGGCCUCAAGGCAAGAACCUUCAAGAAGAAGCUCGAGGCCUGUGGUAGGGGCUGGCUCGACGAGCUCCAGUCCAUGUUGUGGUCCAUUCGCACCACCGCGACCAAGCCGACCAGUGAAACUCUGUUCUUCCUCGUCUACGGAGCUAAAGCAGUUCUCCCUCACGAGGUUAGGCAUCGCUCCGCGCGGGUCUUGGUGUUUGUCGAGGCAUGCCAGGACGCAUCGUGGGGGAUGGACCUCGUGCUGGGGGAGGAACGCUGCCGCCAAGCCUCGCUCCGAGCCGUGAGGUACCAGCAGGCGCUGCGGCGGUACCACUGCCACAGCGUCCGCUCCAGGACGCUCGAGGUGGGUGAUCUCGUCCUAAGGCGGGUGCUCUCUAGGGAGGGGUUGCAUAAGCUCUCACUCAUGUAGGAGGGCCCGUUCAGGAUCGCCCGUGUCUCCAGGCCUGGCACCACGCGCCUGGAGACGCAGGACGGGAUCCCCAUCCAAAACGCCUGGAACAUCUAGCACCUCUGGAAGUUCUACCCAUGAAGCAAGGCCCCGUGCAUGUGAAGGUCUCCGCUCUGACACUCUCACGUAAUAAUGAGUGGGGAUGUACACGCCCUGGAGUCUCCUGAGCGCCACCCCCGGGCCUCACGAGGGCUCCCUCCCACGUCCUAGUGGCAUCACUUAACUCUGCGCUGGUGAGAAGAGUAGUCUAGCACGCGGCUGUUCUUUUGCUUGCUUUCUAUAGCUUGUUUGCAACUUCUUAAUGGAAUUUGGAGUUUUCGCUUUUUUUUGUUCGCCAAAGUUGGAAUUUUUCUCCUCUUACUUCGCUCGCCUCUCAGUCUUGACCCAGGAAGAGUGGCAGUUGCCCGUCGCUCCUCCUCGCGCGUCCCAUGCGUGGGGGCUAGGUAGGUGUGUGCAUUUGGGUUUGCGCACACCGCAAACACACCUCGCCGAAGCCUCGGCUUCUUUAAUCCUCGUGAUACGCUCUCGAAUGAGCUCGUGGGCAUGCGCACCCUCUCAAGUCCGUGCCUUCGGGCAGUGCGACGCGGUGUACCAGCCCCAACCAACCCAUGCAUGGGGGCUCACGCAAGGAAGAAUAAGAUGCCCCGUCAAGCUUUCUAAUAACUCUGCAGCUCUACAAAUGCCUCCUAAGGCCCUAAGGCUCCUGAGUCGUCAGGAAGGAAGCUUCGCUGAAUGCUUCCGGAAAGGUGCUCCCUCACGAGGCAGGAAACUGCCGCAAGCAUAUCAAGCUAAGUUACCCUAAUCGCACCUACUUGGAACAUGGGUAUCAUGGCACAAUUUCUGAAUAACAAACAUAGCAUAGUGGCAUAAGUGCCAUAGUUCAUUACACACCCAAGUGGGCCCCCCUACUUUUUUCAAAUGCAGCAGAAAGGAAAGGUUAAAAAAAAGCAUGCCGCACAGCUGCGACGGCUCCCGAGGUCAGGCUCCAGCAAUGCCCGAUGCUCAGUCCGAGCCCUCUUCCCACUUCACCGGAGCGCAACAGCGAGAUGGCCCGUCGCCUCCCCCGAUCCGAGCCCGGCGGAUGGGCAGCUGAUCAUAGCCACCUCUGCUAGUGCUCUCGCCGGAGGAGGAGCCGUCGCCGUUGGGAGAGGUGCGGCCGUUGCCAAGGGCAAGCUCACCCUCGUCGUCGUCACGGCCGUCGUCAAGGCCAAGCUCAUCGUCGAUGCUUCCAUCCUCAGGGUAGAACCCCGCGCGACGACCGUCCUUCCUUAACACCCUCACGUAGAGGGUCGUGAGGCCGUUGUACCUGAAGUGGAGGGUGCACCUUCUACUCAGGCCUCAUGCACGGGCGAACGCCUACCAACUGCGGGUCAAGGUCAUGUUGCUUGUGGCGGUGACCUUGACCCCGGCCCACGAGGCCCUGUUGCAGCAGUCGUCAGCCUGCAGCUAGAGGCCGUCAAGCCCCAUGGCUAGUAGCUCGCUGGCCAAGAAGCGCGGAAGCUGAAACCAGGUGUUGGCGGGCCUCUCCGACCACACAGCAAACUCCGGGAACACGUCUGCGGAAUGGAAGCGCGACCAUGGGGCGCCUUUCCCCGUCAUAGGAGCUGCCUCGCCCUCGGCGUCUCUUGCCGCAAGAAGAAGCACCGCCAUGACCGCCGGAGGUAGCACCCGCUCCUGGAGGAGAGCGCUUGCGCCCCUGGGGGCCCACCACCGGGGUUGCACUGUACUUGCGGGGGCAUCUGUGGCCCCUCUUGGGCGGCGGCGAACCUGGCCCUUCCUUGGGGGCCUCCCCGUUCUCUAUGGCGGAGAACUUCCUCGUUGGUGGCAUGGACUCUACAGCAAGAUAGCGAGACAAAGAAGAAGAAGGAGCAGGCAGCGAGAAGAGGGAGAUGAGUGAGGGGGGCUCCGCCCCUCCCCUCAUUUGCCGGAGGGAGGCCAACCGCCAGCCUCCACGAUCCCAUGAAAUGAUGGUUUUUGUCUGCAUGCAACAGGGACUCAUCAAGUCAAACGGUUGCCGAGACAGCAUGGAAAAGCGGAGAUGCCCACAUCCCAUCAAUCACCAUGCGCCGACCAAGGCCGUGGGCAGUUGGGGCCCGCGGCGCUCCACAAUUGCCCUUUGGCUUCGCCUCGAAGCCAAGUUCGAGCGCGCCUUGGGCCCGUGGGCUACUGUCGGCGUUCUGGGAACGGGGGUACCUAGACUUACCUGCCUGUAGCCCACGGCGUGGCUCCAUCAACAGCCUAGUAUGGCCCACCUUUAGCAUCAACGACUCAAGACCCUCGCGAGGGGCCAAGCCUCGCGACACGUGCGGCACCAAGACCUCCAGGAGGGGCAGCUUCCUCAGGCUGGCUCCUGAGGAGUGGAGAUUUCUAUGCAUGCCUCACGUCAUGAGGCUUCAGAUGACGUGAGCCAUGACGACCAAGGCCAGGCGGGCGCCAACAGGCGCAAGACAUCAGUUUCCUCUCUGGUGCUAAGAAGGCAAGCACAAGCGCGGAGUCCCAAGGAAUCAGCCAAAGGUUUCCAUUCCCGUGAACAAGACCAAGACCGCCAGGACGGAGGUCAUCACCGAGCCCACCAUGGCGUCACGACCAGAAGCUUUGCAGGCGAAGACUACUUUUGUCAGGAUAAGAUGAACUAGUUGUCUCCCUUCAAAUUUGGCCGUUGUGGGAACCCUUCCCGCCUUCAUUUGGGAAGAGGACCAAGGCCACUAUAAAUAGGACCUAGCCACCACCAUAGAAGGGGAUCAGAUCCAUUCCACCCUCACCGGCUCACAGGCUCACUCGGGCACAAGAAUACACCUCCUCCCGAGGUUGUUCUCGCACUAUACUAGUUCAUCCUCAGCCCCUCAAGGCCAAUCCACCACAAAGCAGGAGUAGGGUUUUACACCGCAAGGUGGCCCAAACCUGGGCAAACUAUCAUGUCCUCUUUCCUUUGAGUUCGUCGAGCUAGGCCGUGAGAUUGGAGAGUAGGAAAAAUGGGGAGGUUGAGUUCUUCACACGCACCCUAGAGUUCGAACCUCUCAAGGGUCCGCGGAACUCGAAAUCCGAUAAUAGCAUCAGUCGUGCGUGAAGAAAUUGAACCAACUCCAUCUGCCUUUCCUGCAAAGUCUUCAAAGAUGAAGAAUAUCAACCUUCCUUUUGCAUCAGAAGUGAAAAAAAACCAAGGCUGCAGAGAAGGCAGCUGUAAAGUGAGGACUUUAACGAGCUCUUUCAACAACCAAAUUGAUGUUGUUCCAAUUUUGAUAGUGUUGUCAAAGGAAAUUGUCCCAUUUGGUGAAGAUUAUGUCAUUCCAGAUGACAUAGAUGAAGAAAAUCCUUCUGUUGCUUCUUUAGUGCAGUUGGAUGAAGAAACUGAAGUGGAAGAUAUCCCUUCAACACCACUGGUAUCAUCGCCCAUUCCUUAGUUCACAACUGAAGAGGCAGGCGUUGAGGAAAUGGAAGAGGAUGUGGACAUUGGUUCUACAACACCUGUUCUGAAUGAUGACUAUUCGGAAAUACUCCAUCCCAAUUCACCAUUGUCCACCCCUCUACAUCAAAUUCCUCAAUCCCCCAUGCUGAAGAAAUUCAAACGGGAUCUAAAGGACGUUAAACAUCUCUCUUGUCCAUUCCUGAGGAAAUUCCAGCUACUACAGCUAAAGAAAUGGAGACAUGAACUGCUGCUGAAGAACCUGAACCCUCAAUUCCCGAGUCAGCAGAUCUAGAGAUUCUGAACCAGAGGUUAUGCAACCUUCAACUGCUAAUCUUCAGCCCAAGCAACAAAAUCCUCAUGCAAAGAGGCGAAAUCCAAGGCUAACAAUUUCUUCACUGAGCAUCAUUUCUUCGCGGAUUUCAAUCCAUAUGACCCAGCAAGACUUUGAUGCAAGCGAUUCUGGACAGCUAGUCAAAUGAACUUCUAUUCAUCACUCCUGUUUGACAAGGAUAAGGUAUUUGAGCACCGUCAAAUUCCUCAUGUUGACAUGGAGUCCAUUCCUUGCUUCCAGCCAGUCUUAAAAUGUUCUUCACGAAGCUGGGCUCCUGAAUUUCUGCGCUGACAUCUGCGAUUGGAAUGAAGAGCUAAUUCUUCAAUUCCAUGCCACUCUGCACCUCACUGGAAAUGUGGCUGAUGUGAAUUCAUGGGUGCUUGACUAGAUGACUAAGAACACUCACUACAAAGCGCCGACCUCUGAAUUACUUCAUGCCGUACUAGUCAGUCCUCCUACUGAAGGCGCAAGGCUCAUGUAUGAGGAACCUGAGCUUCAAAAUCAUCUGAUGCAAGUACUGAUGAAGCCUUUGAAGGCUGGCCAAGCUCCAAGAACCACCUUCCUAGUAUAGGAUCUGCUUUAUGUGCCAAGGGUAAUCUAUCGCAUUCUGACCAAAACCCUCAAUCCAAUCGAAGGCCACAACUCUGAAGAAGAGGAAGUUGUUGGCAUCAUGAAGAAUCUGCUGUUCAACAUCAUUCAUGGGAUUCCCAUUAAUUAUCACGAUUUCUUCUUGAGGACUUUGGCGAAUGUUGCACUACCACCGUUUGAGUUAAAGCCUUAUGCUCCAUGGAUUAUGAAAUUCAUCAGAACCUGGUCUUCAAUUCACUACAAGGCAGAUUGUUAGAAUCACUUCAGCUAUUUGCCUCCUAUUGAAGUCCUCAAGUGGAUCAGUUCUUCAGUUGAUGAAAAAGGCAAAGCUGUUAUUAUUGAUGAAGGCACUCGUCCAUUGGAUGGUCAAUUUCGCAAAGCUGCAUCUUAGUCCACCAAUGAUGACCCUGCAACUCAUGACUCUGCUGCAAAAGCUUCAAAGCCAACUCCUCAAGCAACUGCUCCAUGAGCGAUGACUGAUCAUGAGAUUCUUAUAAGUCUUCAUCAGAAGGGCGAUCCUAAUCACAAGUGGGUCAAGCGUCAGUUUGGCUCAAUUCUUCAGAACAUGAUUGUCACACAAAACACUGAAGAAGAAUCACUAGUAUGCUCAUGAAAUCUUUGAUCACACUCAGGCCAUAUUGUCUCACCUUUACGGUGAUGAAGACCUCAAGAAGAUGGGAUUUCAACAGGACUUUGACUGGUCUCAGACUCCUUCGAAGAAAUUCAAGAAGGUCAAAGUUCCUUGGUUGGUUACAAGUUCAUAUUCUUCAUCGCGUGAGACGGAUGAAGCUGAAGACUUGAACGACACUGCCGUAGGCCCUACCUCAACGGACGACACCAACAACACUGGCGCUCCUCCAUCGACAUCAUGAUGAUAUUCUUCAGGGGUGUUAGUCCUCAUUUUUCGCCCCUUUUGGUCAUUUGAUGACAAAGGGGGAGAAAUUUGAGUUAGUCUUCAAGCAGGUCUUCUAUAUGGGUUGUUUUUUGUUAAGUUACAACUCUCGCUCUUCUGAAGUGUUUGUUGACCGAGUUGUAAACUUAAGUCCUAUGGUGCUUUGAUACUUUUGAACUGCUUUUUGCAUGCUUAUUUCCUCAAGUACCUUAAUGCACACAUGCUGAAUUUUGUCAGACACCAUAUUUCAUCAUGCAUUUCAAAUUCUUCAUAUCGUAUGUUAAAUGUGUGUAUGAGUUACAAGAUAUAGGGGGAGAUCUCCAUGAUAUUACUCUACAAUGUGCAUUUGCAAUCCAAAGCAAAUUCCUCAAAUAUGCACAUCUUCAGGGGGAGUUUCUUCUGUAUCUUGUAAUCAAAUUCCUCAAUUUGAGUAUUUACACUUCAUAUGUUUAUCCCCGUUGAAAACUUGACCUAUUUGUCAUCAAUCACCAAAAAGGGGGAGAUUGUAAGUGCAUCUAGUGCCCCUUAGUGAUUUUGGUGUAUCGAAGACUUAUAUGUUAAGGGACUAAUGUGUUUGUGAGUGUACACAGGUUCUAUAAGUCUAUGAGGAGUUUGAUAUUUACGAAGAAAGUUGACCCCUAAAAAUGAAUGUCUUCAGUUGAAGACUUUGGUUUUCUUGAAGACUUUGAAAAUAAGGAAAUUGGUGUGACCUUGAAGACUUUGAUAUCGAUGCGAGGAUUAUCAAGCGUGAAGACUUUUGUUUUCAUAGUUUCAUUUUCUCUUUCUUGAGUCAUAGGAAACACCGUACUGUUAAAGGGGGUUGAGGUAAAACUAAGGAAACACUUUCCAAGUGAUGCUCAUCUCAAAGCCUAGACUUACCCAAUCCUUUCGAGUGAAGCCAUUGGAAAUCUCAUAUAGUUCAGUCAAUUUCUUCAGUGAUAGAGACGAAGAUCUUCUGUUCUCUAAGGAAUUUGUUCUGAUUGAGAAGUUAGGAAUUGAAAGUGUGUUAUAUCGACUAGAGGGGCGGGGGAUGAAUAGGCGAUUUUUACAAAUUUGUCACUAAGGAAAUUCAGCUUGAGGAAUUUGCUAAGCGGCGAAGUACAUGCAGCGGAAUAAGUACUAAGGUGCAAGCAUAACAUGGCAGUAACACAGUCAUCAUGUUGAUAUGAAAUAAGCACAGAGCAUAGGUAGCGUGUAAACAGGAUAAGCAGGCUGAAGAUAAGACGACUGCAGAAUUAGGAUUGAGGAAAUUGAUAAAGUCUUUAGUCAAAGUCUUCAAACAGUAAUGAUCAAGUUCAUCAACACAUGAAUGAGGAAAUGAAGGGUUGAGGAAAUAGAACCAGUAGCUUGGUGAAGAUGAUGAUUUGGUAGACCAGUUCCAACUGCUAUGACAAUUGUACAUCUUGUUGGAGCGGCUAGGAAUUUAAACCUGAGGACACACAGUCCCGGACAUACAGUUCUCACUGUAUUCUCCUUGAGCUAAAGUCACACGGACCUCACCCAAUCACUCAUGGUAGGUAUUCAGGUGACUUCCAAACCUUCAUAGACUCGGUCACUCGGCGAUCCACAAUUCCUCUUGGAUGCUCUAGACCAUGACGCCUAACCGUUUGGAGGAUGCACAGUCCUCAAAGGUAACAAGCAUCGGUUCCACACAGGAACAAUCUCUUCAGUGAUGCUCAAUCACUUUGGGUUGUAGGUGUUUGGGUUUUUGGGUUUUUCCUCACUCAAUGAUUUUUGCUCAAACUCCUCGGAGGAUGGGAUGCUCUCAAUGACAAGUGUCAGUUUCUCUCGGAGUAGCCAACCAACUAGUGGUUGUAGGGGGCGGCUAUUUAUAGCCUAGGAGCAUCCCGACAUGAUAAGACAUAAAUGCCCUUCAAUGGUAUGACCGUUAGGUGGAUAGGAUAUUUUGGGACAGCUGGUGCGCAGCACAUCAACGGUCGGAAAUUUGAGCUCUCAAAUUCCUCAGGGCUAUUAUGUUCCUCACUUGUAGGCAAUCUGCACCGGCGAAUUCCUAACUCCUCAGUCAGAACAAAUUCCCGAGAGACCAGAAGAUCUUCGUCUCUGUCAAUGAAGAAAUUGAUUGAACAAUAUGAGAUUUUCAUUGGCUUCACUCGAAAGGAUUAGGUAGGUGUAGGAUUUUGAGAUGAGCAUCACUUGGAAACUAUUCCUUAGUUUAACCUUGACCCCCUUUAACAGUACGAUGUUUCCUAUGAGUCAAGAAAGAGAAAAUGAAACUAUGAACAUAAGUCUUCACGCUUCAUUAUCCUCGCAUCAACAUCGAAGUCUUCAAGGUCACACCAAUUUCCUCAUUUUCAUAGUCUUCAAGAAAACCAAAGUCUUCAACUGAAGACAUUCAUUUUUAGGGGUAGACUUUCAUCGUAAAUAUCAAACUCCUCAUAGACUUGUAGAACCUAUGUACACUCACAAACACAUUAGUCUCUUAACCUAUAAGUCUUCAAUACACCAAAAUUACUAAGGGGCACUAGAUGCACUAAGAAUCUCCCCCUUUUUGGUGAUUGAUGACAAAUAGGUUAAGUUUUCAACGGGGAUAAACAUAUAAAGUGUAAAUACUGAGAUUGAGGAAUUUUAUUACAAGAUAUAGAAGAACUCCCCGUGAAGAUGUGCCUAUUUGAGGAAUUUGCUUAGGUUUGCAAAUGCACAUUGUAGAGUAAUAGCCUGGAGAUCUCCCCAUAUAUCUAGUAAUUCAUACACGCAUUUGACAUAUUAUAUGAGGAAUUUGAAAUGCAUGAUGAAAUAUGGUGUCUGACGAAAUUCAGCAUGCGUGCAUUAAGGUACUUGAGGAAAUAAGCAUGCAGAAAGCAGUUCAAAAAGUAUCAGAGCACCAUAGGACUUAAGUUUACAACCCAUUAGAGGAAACACCUCAGAAGAGCAAGAGUUGUAACUUAACAAAAACGCCCAUAUAUAAGACCCGCUUGAAGACUAACUCAAUUCUCCCCCUUUGUCAUCGAAUGACCAAAAGGGGCGAAAAAUGAGGACUAACGCCCCUGAAGAAUAUUGUCAUGAUGUCGAUGGAGGAGUGCCAGCGUUGUUGGGGUCGUCCAUUGAGGUAGGGCCUGUUGCAGUGUCGUUCACAUCUUCAGCUUCAUCUGUCUCUCGUGAUGAAGAAUAUGAACUAGUAACUAGCCGAGGGACGUUGUCCUUCUUGAAUUUCUUUAAAGGUGGCCGAGACUAGUCAAAGUCUUGUUGAAAUUCCAUCUUCUUCAGAUCUUCAGCACUAUAAAGAUGAGACAGAAUAGCCCAAGUGCGAUCGAAGAUUUAAUGUGCAUAGUAGUGAUUCUUCUUCACACUGUUUUGCGUGACUAUCAUGUUCUGAAGAAUUGAGCCAAAUUGACGCUUGACCCACUUGUGAUUGCGAUCGACCUUCUGAUGAAGACUUGGAAGAAGCUCAUGAUCAAUCAUCACUCAUGGAGCAGUGGCUUGAGGAAUAGGCUUUGAAGCUUUUUCGGCAGAGUCUUGGGUUGUAGAGUCAUCAUUGGUGGAGUAAGAUGCAGGUUUGCAAAACUGACCAUCCAAAGGACGAGUGCCUUCAUCAAUAACAACAGCUUUGGCUUUCUCAUCAGCCGAGGAAAUAGUCCUUUUGAGGACUUCAAUAGGAGGCAAAUAGCUGAGAUGAUUCUGAGAAUCUGCCUUGUAAUGAAUUGAAGACCUUGAUCUGACAAUGUUCAUGAUCCAGGGAGCAUAAGGCUUCAACUCGAAAGGUGACAGAGCAGCAUUAGCCAAAUUCCUCAUGAAGAAAUCAUGGUAGUUAAUGGGAAUGCCAUGUAUGAUGUUAAACAUCAGAUUCUUCAUGAUUCCAACAACGUCUUCUUCUUCAGACUUGUGGCCUUUGAUUGGACUGAGGGUUUUGGUUAGAAUGCGCUAGAUUGUCCUUGGCACAUAUAGCAAUUCCUUCACAAGGAAUGUUGUUCUUGGAGCUUGGCCUUGCUUCAAAGGCUUCAUGAGCACUUGCAUCAUAUGAUUUGGAAGCUCAGGUUGUUCACAGAUGAGCCUUGCGCCUUCAGGGGGAGGACUGACUGGAAUGACAUGAAGCAAUUCAGAGGCUGGGGCUUUAUAGUGCGUGUCCUCAGUCAUCCAAUCAAGCACCCAUGAAUUCACAUCUGCCACAUUUCCAGUGAGGUGCAGUGUAGCAUAGAAUUGAAGAAUUAGCUCUUCCUUUUAGUCGCAGAUGUCAGCAUAGAAGUUCAAGAGCCCAGCGUCAUGAAGAACAUUCAGGAUAGGUUGGAAGCACGGGAGAGACUCCAUAUCCACAUGAGGAAUUUUAAGGUGCUCAAAUACCUUGUCCUUAUCAAAUAAGAGUGAUGAAUAGAAGUUAAUUUGGCUGGUAGUCCAGAACUGCUUGCGUCGAAGCCUUGCUGAGUCAUAAGUAUUGAAAUCCAUGGAGAAAUGGUGCUCAACAAAGAAAUCGUCAGCCUUGAAUUUCGGCCUUUUAGCAUGAGGAUUUUGUUGCUUGGGCUGAAGAUUUGUAGUUGAAGACUUCACAACCUCUUGCUUCAAAAUCUCUGGAGUUGCUGCCUAAGGAAUUGACACUUCAGGUUCUUCAACAGCAUGUUGAUUUUCAAUUUCUUCAGCUGGUGCAGCUGGAACUUCUUCAGGAAUGGAAAGAAGGGAUGUUUGACGACCUUCAUAUCCUGUUUGAAUUUCUUUAGUUUGCACAGGGGCCUAAGGAAUUUGAUGCAGAGGAGUGGUCAAUGGUGAAUUGGGGUGAAGUCUUUCCCAAUAGUCAUCAUCCAUAAUUGGUGUACUAGACCCAAUGUCCACAUCCUCGUCUUCUUCCAUUUCUUCAACGCCUGCCUCUUCAGGUGUGAACUGAGGCAUGGGAAAUGAUACCAAUGGGGUUGAAGGGAUAUCUUCCACUUCAAUUUCUUCAUCCAACUACUCUGAAGAAGCAGCAGAAAGAUUCUCUUCAGCUGUGUCAUCUGGUAUGACAUAUUCUUCACCAAAAGGAACAAUUUUUUUGAUGGAACAACAGAGAUUGGAACAUCAUCAAUGUGGUUAGUGAAGGAACUUGUCAAUGUCUUCACUCUCUUAGGAGCUGAGGACUCUACAGUCGUUGAUGCCUUCCUUUUCUUCACAACUGCCUUCUCCACAACUUUGGUUUUCUUCACUUGUGAUACAGAAGGAAGGUUGAUAUUCUUCAUCUGUGAUAACUUUGCAGGAGGAGCGGACGAAGUUGGUUCAGUUUCUUUAGGCACGACUGAUACAGUCGCCCUGACAUUUUUAGUUUCUUCAGGUGCAACAAAUGCUCUUGCUGGCCUGGUUUGUUCUUCAGGCGCAACAUUGGAGGUUGCCCUGGCAUUUUCUUCAAGAGUUGGAAUUUCUUCAACAGCCCUGGUAUUUUCAGUUUUAUCAGUAGCCUGAUUUUCAUCAGCUGCGCUAGUAGUUUCUUCAACAAAUUGAACAGAAGCAUCAACUAGAGGAAUUUGUUGUUGCGAUGGUGCUGCAACAUUCAACUUGAGGUUCUUGGAGAGUAUGACAAAUCUGACCUUGGUACCGAGCCAAUCUGCAUGGUAGGUGUAAAAUUCAUCACUGAGGUCUUUGAUUUCCUUUUGCAUGUUUACAAGUUCUUGAGGAGUCAUAUUCAGAACAUUUUUCUUCAGAAAUCUCUCCUUUUUAUACUGGGCCUUUUGACUUGUCUUGCCUUCUAAAAUUUCCAUUUUUCUUCACUAAUGAAGGCAGUCAACAUAUGACUUUGACCAGGAGUGUGGUUUAUGUCAGGCGGAGGAGUGUUGGGAUGCUUAUGCCAGAGAUCAAUGAAAUCAAGGAUCUUCUUCAGAUCCAACAUGAGAGGCACAACACUGCCUUUGGCUCUAGCGGCCCUUGCCUACCUAUCCCUGAUGAUUUUAGCAAGUUCUUCAUCAUCAGCUUCAUCGUCAUCGGACAGAACUUGAAAAUCAACCUGCUUCUUAUGAGGACUUGGCCUCGAGCCACGUCCAGCAGUUGAAUUUUUCUUCAACAAGGAUGGACCUGUUGAGGACUAUGGUGAAGCUAAGGAACUUGCAGAUGCUCCUGAAAAAAUAGAAAAACGUGCAGUCCAUUGGCACGUGGAGAGAUGCACAGGUGUUGAGGACGCUGCACCAGCAGUUGAGGAUUUCGUGGCAACAGAGGGAAUUGGAGCUGCCCUUGAAGAGGUUGCCUGAGGAAUUUUCCAUGAGGGCAUUGCUGUUGAGGAACUCGGCUUCACAGCUGAUUUCUUCGGCAAAGCCUUCUUAGGCUUGCUAGCAAAGACCUUAGCAGCAGCAGUAGCAGAAUCUUAAUUGAAUUUCUUCACUGCUUCUUUUGCUACUUUAGCCAACUUGGCUUGGCGCUUAGCCCAUUCUUUGGGAAAUUCCUCACCGCGCUUGUCACACCCUAGCUAGUCAUGCAUUAGAGUGUUGCAUCAUGUUUACUCAUUCAUCAGAAACUUGAAAUGGGGAUGACAGAACCCCCAGUCCCCUCUGAAACCAACUAGGGUUACUGAAAUAAUUUUUUCAAUGAACCUGAAAUGCCCUUCUAAAAUGCCCAUCAUUUUUGUCUUGGUUCAGAACCUCUGCCAAAAAUGGUGCACAUUUUCCUAGGCCAUCCUAGGGUUUUUGAAUUAAAUCAUAAAUAUUUGAAUUUGGGCAUUUAAAAUAAUAUAAAAUAUUUAAAUGCUCAAAUAUCUCCAAACUAAAAUGUUUCAUGUUGGAAAUAAUCCAACUAUGGGCCAGGAAUAGUUUGGUGAUUUUUGAAGUUGCCUAGGUACUUUAUUAAAUUCAACAAAGUUGCAGAUAUAUUAAAUAAAAACAGAAACAGAAAGAAAAGGGAAAAACUUACCUGGGCUCCUCCCUGUGCGGCCCAGCCAGCUGGCCGGCCCAGCCAGCAGCCGACCCAGCCCAGCACUGUAGCCCUCCGUCGUCUUCCUCCCCUCGCCCCGAAGCUGCUGCGUGCUCGCGCGCGCACGGCCGCGCGGCCACCUCCUGCUUGCCGACGAGCUCCUGGCCGCGUGGACGACUCCCGCAGGCCGUCCCGAUCCCCCCUGCUCUCUCUCACUCUCCCCGGCUCUUUCCUUCCUCUCCCUCGCUCUCUCUCCCUCACGGCCGAACACCACCGUCGCCGCCGUUCGCCACAGCAGCCAUCUCCGGCCACCCCUCGCUCCCCCGACUAGCUCAGAAGCUCCGCCACAACCCCCUCUUCCUUCCCACCGCUCCACAGCUCCCUGGAAGCCCUGCAUCGCCGCCACGUCGCCGUUCCCCUCUUCGGGCUCCGACCAUCGUCGCCGUCAAAUUCGUCGUCUCCGGCGCGUCCCCGAGCCCGCUUCGACGCCCACUGCAACCGCGGUGAGCCCCCGGAGCGUUUCCCCCUUCUUCCCUGGUCUCUCCCGACCUCUAGGCCCUAGCCCCACCUCGGCCGAGAGCUCCACGCCGCCGACGAUGUCGCCGUCAUGGCCACGGUCGCCGUAGCACCCAACCGAGCACACCAUCGUGCUCCACACCUCACUAGGAGCACGUAGCACGCACCAACACCUCCCCUAACGCCCUGCAACGCCGUUUCCGACCGCACCCGAACUCCGGCCGCCGCAGCCGAGCUCGCCGUCGUCAACUCCGGCCACCCCGAGCCCAACCACCACCACCAAUAGUCGCGGCUCAACCUCAGCAACACGUAGAUGCCUUCCGCCGUCCAUUUGGUUGCCGGAAUGGCAAAAAGCACUUUCGCCGCCGUCUCGGACCUCGCCGGCGUCAUGUCGCCGGUGGGGUUUGACUUGUCCGACCUGGGGUUUGACCCCCCAGGGUCACUGACGCGUGGGCCCUGUCGGCCAGGUGGUUAGGUUAGCGCUAACUACUGUUAGUCAACCCCCCCUGACACUGACAGUGGGCCCCAGCGCCACUAACCCCUAAUUAGGAUUAAUUUAAUCCUGUUUAACCCCCCCUGUCACUGACGUGUGGGCCCCACACGUCAGGUUUGACCUCAGCCAGCCACAGUUGACCACUGACGUCAUGCUGACGUCAUGCUGACGCAAUAAUUAUAUUUCUGGAAUUAAAUUAAAUCAGGAAAUUCCAGAAUAUUAUUUAAACUUCAAAAAUUCAUAACUUUUAUUCUGUAACUCCAAAUUGGACAAAUUAUAUAUGAAAAAUGAUCAGAAAAAUCCAAUCUAUCCAUCUGUACUAUUUUCAUGCAUGAUCAAACAAGUUAAAUUGAUGUUUUAAGCAGAACAAGAAAAGGCACUUUAAAAGGCCAUAUUUGAAUUUGAAAUUUGAAUCCUUGAUUCAAAUUUGUUCAAACACCCCUGGUUUUAGUUGCAUUAGCCCAAUACACUCAUUUUGCCAUGUCUCAUGCAUGCAUCAUAUUGUUGCAUACUGUUUGGUAAUGCUUGUGUAUCGGUGCUCUCUGCGGCAGGUUCUGUCCCCGAAGAGUACCCUGAUUACCCUAGCGAAGAACCGUAUCAGUGCAUCGAACCAUCAGGCAAGCAACCAACCAUUUGAUCAUAUCGAUACAAUCCCAUGUUCUCGCUCCUGCUCUCUUUUACUGCAUUAAGACAACGCGAUUCAAACUGCUGUGUGCUACGGUAGUUGAACCCAUUUCCUCUGCAUGACCUGUCAUUGCCACAGUAACUAGAUGAAACUCACUAGCAUGUGUAGGAGUUGAUUGAGCCAUAUGUAUGUGUUGUUCCUACCUUGCUAUGCCUGCUAUGCUUAGAGUCGUGUCAGGUCUGGUUCAUCUGGGUGAUGGGCUAGAGUGAAAUGAUUAUGUCGGUAAUGAGAGUGGUGUGGUGAACACGAUUUGGUAAAGGUAUCGAUGAGAGGCCAUGUAGGAGUACAUGGUAGGUUGUUUCAUUGAAGCCGACCUUAAGCACUGAGAUCUGUAUGUGUGAUUUAAGAAUCAGCUACUACCAUGCAUUGGGCCCGAAACCAAUGGACCCUCUCGACUUCUUAUUCACCCUAGUUCUCCGUCCAGGAGUUGCAAGUAGUUUCUGGUGUUUGUAGCCUACUGGAGGCCGUGGACAGCGCUGACCGUAGGGGUGGGCUGUGAUGCGGUAGGUACGUGGCACGGUGUACCGAAUACCCGUUAGGUAUCCCGGGAACCCUGUUCACAUCGUUCGGGGCCGUAUGGGAAACCUCGGCCGGACUCCCUGCGGAUGGAACCUGAAUAGGCGAUAAACCUGGACUGGAGGCUUAGGUGAUUAGGUAGGUCGUGGCCGACACCCACGUUGGGCUUCCGCUUGAAGGUUGCCGAGUACAUGUCGUGUAAACGACGAUAAGUGGUGAGAGCAUGUAUGAAGGAGUACACCCCUGCAGGGUUAACAUGAUCUAUUCGAAUAGCCGCGUCCGCGGUAAAGGACUACUUGGUUGCCU
rnacentral:lncRNA from 1 species